rnacentral:lncRNA from 1 species
UUUGCCUGAAAAAUUAAACAUAAGGAGGGUGAGUAUAAAAAUACCCAGUAAGAGACCCUCUACUGGUCCCGUCAGGGGAAAAUAAAUUGUUAACAUUCUAUUGGGACACCCUGUACAGUCGCAGUCUUGUGAUCCCGUAGGAUGCACAUUUCAGUCUAACGCCCCGAGGGACGUACAUUUCAGUCUAGUGUUCUGCAGAAACACAUAUCAGUCUAAUGCUCCGAAGGUCGCAUAAAAAUUGGUGAUCCCGUAGGACACCUACAAGGCAUACAUCCCAAUAAAACUAACAAUUUUUCCCCUCAAUCCAUUCUAACCAUCUUUACGGUAAUUUAUGACAUCUUUCAGUUACUUCAAAAUAUAAAGUUCUUUCACUCAACAUUCUAACAGUCAACCUAUCUCACUUAAGUUCGAAGGUCGUUGAUAACAUUUUAAUACAUCUGUCAAGUAAACAACAAAGUCACAACACCCCUCAUUUUUACCAGCGCAAACCACAGUUCAGUAUAAUCCACAUUCAACCGAAACAAAUUCACUAGUUCACAUCCAAAUCUUUAUACAGCACAAUCUAUUAAUAUCAUCAUGUACACAUAAGCAUAAUUUCAGUCAUUCACAUGUAUACUUUCGGCAAUCCACAUCAAUUCACACAUCAAUGUAUUUAUAUAUAUGUUUCCAGUCAAAUACAACAUACACUAAACAUUUAGUCUGCAACCAAACGUGUACAUCUUAAUCAUCAUCCAUACAGUCCAACACAACUCAAAAACUUUAGGUGAGUCCAGUAGAAAGUCCCUUACCUCAAAGUUAGGGAAGCUCCCUUAAUCAACUAUCGUCCACGAAACAAUCCAAAUAAGGGCAAACCGAAAUCAAAAUUCACAAAUUGGUUGUGAAUUUAAGUGAUCCAAGGUUACCUUUCACACCUUCAAGAAUAAUUUAUCAAAUUAGUCAAUUAACCCAUCCGUAACGUUUGAACACCUUGAAAACAUCACAACCCAUACUUAAAUUGUUUUGAAAACGACUACAAUUUCAUAACUUCAAUCUUACCAACAAUACUUCGACGGAUCUCAGUAAAAAUAGGGGCAGCGCAAUCGAUUCUAAACAAAAACCAUCGUGCAAACAGAUUAGAGUGUACGUCGGUUUGUGAAUCGCGGUUAGAAGAAAAAACACGUUGCUGGAAAAGAGGAAACGCGCGGCUAGAAGGAGGCGUGCGCGCUGCCUCAAAAUCGAUCGACGAUCUGACGCGGCGACUGGGCUUCACGAACGGAGAAGAAGAGAGGAAAGGAAUGGACGACGGCUGGACUUGGCUUCGACGGAGACAGAGGUCACGCGGCGGGGCUGGGCAGAGGGUCACGGCGGUGGGCGGAGGCCAUGGAUCUGAACGGCAAGGGAAGGGGAGAAGAUGAUGGUCGGCUGGGUUAGGGUACAGGAAAGAGAAGAAGAAAAAGAUGGAGAGAGGGGUGUCGCACGCGUGAGAGAGGGGAGAGAGGAAAAAGAUAUUUUAAUUUCUUUUUCUUUUCCUUUUUUUUAUGCUAAUUAAUAAUAAUAAUAAUAAUAUAUUAUUAUUAUGAAAGACUUUUCCAACACUUUUUUUUUUAAGACAAAACAACAAAAUGACGUCGAACAAAAAUUAAGAGUAAAAAUAUCGAAUGGUCCGAUUAAAUUAAUUACCUUAGAGUUCGGGGUGUUACAUUAUCGCACAACUUCUUUCGAACUACCCACUUAUCGCAAAAAAGUAUACUUAACCGUAAAAGAUCUUAUCACUUAAUCUUUCCAUGGAUUUAUUUGAACACCAACUUCUUAAUUCUUAGCCGAAUUUUACUUCCUUACUCAAAUUAGAAAUGGGUCGCACAACUUCCUUCGCGAACUACCCACUGAAUCGCAAUAACGUAUACUUAACCAUAAAUUUUUUUAUCGCUUAAUCCUUUUCGUUGAUUUAUUCAAACGCCAAAUUCUUAAUACCUAGCCAAAUUUUACUUCAUUACUCAAAUUAGAAAUGGGUCUCACAUUUAGAGCCUAUCGCUUCUUUAAGAUACAUGAUCUUACCGAUUCAGAGAAAUUAACCACAGGCGUUAUUAGUUUUGAUGAUCUGGCAUUGGAUUGGUACCAAGCACAAGAAGAGUUGGAAGUUUUUAAGAAUUGGGCUGACCUGAAAGAACGAAUGCUUGUACAGUUUCGAUCAAUUCGAGAAGGAACUUUGGUUGGAAGAUUUUUCUCAAUCAAACAGAAAAUGAAUGUAGAAGAAUACCGCAACCGAUUUGAUCGAUAUUUAGCUCUGGUAGCAUUUCUUCAAACGGUAGUGUUAGAGGAGACUUUGAUGAUUGGGCUUAGCCCAUGAAUAAAAAUGGAAGUGGAAACCGUGGAACCGAUUGGGUUGGCCCAGAUGAUGAAAUUUGCGUUGAAGAUUGAGAAUAAGGAACUAGUGAGAAAGAGUGUGGGUUGAGCAGUGCAUUUCAUGUAAAACUGCAACUCACCCUAUCUAUUGUGGAAAACAACAAUACAAUGAUGACUAAGGAAGAAACCAGCAAUGGAAAGUCUGCUGAUGAGAGCUAUCACCCUGAAAGGAGUUACUGAUAGAACUAAGACAUGCACAACAGAAAAAGAAUCGAAAUUCUACCCUAAUUGGGCUUAGUUAACGAGACUAAACCAAAAAAUAAGGUUUUUAGAAUACUUACAUUUGAAGCUGCGUUUUAUUCGAACAACCACUAAGUUUGACUUAGUAUCCUCUAGACUCAUAAUCGAGUUGUGGGACCCGUUGGAUGAAAGAACCGGACGAGAGAAAUAGAUGAAAAAAAAUGGGCGUGGUAAAUUUUCUUUUUUUUUUAAGUAAAUAAGAAAAAGAAAUUCCAUUUGGUGUGAAAGCCCAAAUAUAAUAGCCAACCCAUCAAAUGAGUUCAAAGGCCCCAUUUAUAAGGAUUUUUCAUUCAAAAUUGUAUGUCCAUGCAAUACUAAAGUCCAACAACUCAAAGUCCACUUUCUCUAGCAAGGACUUGAUAAAAAAAGAGAAUAUGAGUUAAUAGGAAAAUGAAAGGGAAUUCCUUGGAAAGUUGGUUUGUGUGUCAUUAAAAGUCAAGGUGGAAAACAAAGUACAACAUAUGGCUAAAUGUGAGAGUAGGCGUGCAAGUAUAAUAAAUACCUACCAAGAUGUUUAUUAAUAACAUGUGUUUGAUACAUAAUUACAACACUUUGACCAAACAACCAAUGCUUAACUAUUUUCAAAACGUCUGGUCAUCUCGCUGCAAAUCCUUCAACCUUCUUCUCUACUUGGCCUAAACACCUCAUCUUGGAAGAUGAAUUUUUGAAAGAAUGUCUAAAAGACUAAGGUUUUAUGAAAUCCUUUUCGCAAUACCUUUUCAUAAACAUCAUUUCGCAUAAACAACAUCAAAUAAUUUUAUCUCGCAUAAACCUUUCUUUAUCCUUAACAUACUCAUAACAUAACAAUUUCACAUAAACACACAUUAGUUAACAUUCAUUCCUUUCACCAAGGAUUUUGAAUCGUUCUCUACACUUUGAUGUAGAACAUCUCCCUUCUUGAUGUUUCUUGAGUUUUAUCCUAGAGGAGGGGUUUGAAUUACCAUUUUUAUAGUUUAGGAUUAGUUAUUUGAAUUACCAAUUUUGUAUCUUAGUUAGUUAUAACUAACUCAACUCCAAGUUAAACUAACUCAACCCCAAGUUAGUUUAACAACUCUUGUAAUCUCCAGCCUAUAAAAAAGCUUCUCAUUUUCAUUAAUAAGACAAAAAAAAGAGGCAUUAUACAUAAAGAUUUCUAGCUUUGCAAUUACUGCAUCAAUUGGUAUCAGAGCGUGAUCCUAGCUCACUCUUCCCUAAAAAAACUUGGAUCCUACCACUCUUAUAUCCAUGGACGCGGAAGCCUCCUUCAACCAACGCUUGCAGUUGGUAGAACAAGCUAUUGAAGAACUUCGAAAAGGCAGCAGUAUAUACAGCAAUCGUUAGUAGAAUUAACAAACCUUUUUACCCGAUUUCAUGUCCAACCUUUAGAAGAAGCAAUUCAGCCCCAAGAAACCCAAUUCAGCAAACCAAGAAAGACAAGAAAAACCAAUAAACCCUGUUGUAAACCAAGAACUACUAAGAAAUCAACCUAUUCACAUCCACAAUAAUCGAUUGUAUGGAAACAACGUACUUGGAAAUUUCUUAAACGAUUCUGACUCUUCCGAUGAAGACAACUUGCUGAACAUUCAUCAAGAACCUCAACAAAGGCUUGGACUUCGACCAUACUUUCAAGAAGAUCAAGAAAUACGUAUGAAAGUGGAUCUCCCUACCUUCAAUGGUCAAAUGGACGUGGAGAAGUUUCUUGAUUGGAUCAAGAACGUAGAAAAUUUUUUCGACUAUGCCAAUACACCCGAACACAAGAAGGUUCGAUUAGUUGCUCUCAAACUUCAAGGUGGCGCAAGCGCUUGGUGGGAUCAAUUACAAAACAAUAGACGAUUAUUCGGUAAACAAUCUAAAGAUUAGCUGAAUAUCUUAUAAAAAGAUGUUGCCAUAGGCUUAGUGGUGACAGGUGAGAAAGUAAGCUGUGUCUUUUAUGACUCUUAAACGUUGAAGUCAAUCAAUGAGUUCCAAAUGCAAUAUUGGAAGUUUUCUUAAAUAUUUUGAUGCUUUUGCAUGUUGUGAAAGAACUUGGUUAGAUGUGAGAAAGGGGUUUAUGAGAUUAGUUACUUACUAUUCCCUUUUUCACUGUCAUUGCUACUCAGUAGAUAUGCUAUGGGCUCGUGUUUCUGUAGAAUAUAAUUCAGAUGCUCUUUCUCUAGAAUAUAAUUUAUAUGUUCUCUCUACAAAUUUGAAGUAAUUUCUACUGUUUUUGCUAAUAAUUUAUAUAUUAUAGAGUUAAAUUUAACACAGUUAAUCAUCUUAAGCAUUUGACUCUGGUGUUCUUAAGAUAUAAAUUCAAAUCCCUAUAAUUUUAUCAUCUUGAUCUUUUCAAUCGUCUCACAUACCGUCUUCAUUUCAUAAUCUUGCCUACUAGCUGCGUAUCAUCAAUGAAAUUACCAUAGGAGUCCACAUGUGGUAAUUAUGGAUCUAGCACGAUAUACUGCGUAUCAUGUUGUUGGAGAUCAUUUUAAAUGAUUAACCAGUCUAUUGGUGGUUUGAGUCUUUCCUUUUGAAUCUAUAGGUUGUUCAAUGGUCUAAUAUUAACUAUGUUUAGAUUUAUGGUAAUUUUCAUUCUUUUACAGCCUUAAUAACCAAGGAAAUGUGUGCUUUGAUAAUCUUUUCUUUCUCUUCAGCAGGUUGGUAAUGUAGAAAGGAUACAUGUAUACUAUGCCCACGGACUAGAUAGCCCAACCUUUGUUCGCCGUGUUAUUGGCUCCUAGAUAAGUAUGUUAUGGUUGAAAGAAAAUUGUUAAAUUGCUUGCUACCAGUUGUUUCAGUGGGGUCUAUCCCCAUCAUGCCACAAGCAAAGAAAAAUGAAAUUAGACAGUGGCAGUAUAUCGUGUUCUACUUAUAUAAUUUAUGACUUGCUUCUGCUUUUUGUUCAGGACCUUUGAACACAUUGUCCUUGUUCAUUACCGUGAAACACAAGAGGUUAGGUUCAGCACAAUGCAUCUGCAGUUACUGAAAUAUUAUCUUGAGACAAACUUUUAUCAUUUGGACUACUACAUCUAUUUAAGAUUUGCUGAUUUUUCCUCCAUGGUUGCAAUAUUAGAACUUCAUCCAAAAUAAUGUUGUCAUGUGUGUCUUUAUGGUGAUUCAUGUGUUGAGAGUUCUCUUUCUUCUGCUAUCCAUAAAUUUAUGGAAUGGAAAGGCAAUGAUCAUGACACUAUUUUUUGUCAGAUAAACACUGGUUUCAUAUGCUUCAACUCUGUGGUGCUUCACAGCACACGGAUAAAACUUCCAAACAAUCUGCACCCAAUAUUACCAUAAUGCAUUUGGACACUUCAUUAACAACUUCUUACAAUUAGCCUUUCUAUAUUGAAAAUAAUUAGUUAUCUUAACUUCCUAUUGCUGCUAGUUUCAGAAUUUUCCAUCCACAUCGUUGAACUCAAAUUCUGGUUCUGUCUCUAACCCAUAACCUCUGUGGCUUUUAUCGGAGGAACUUGAUUCCAAGGCUACUCAUGUUUAUUCUCUUGGUGAAAAUGAAUUGUCAGGUGAUACUGGCCGAACCUGUCAAAAAUAAAUGAGUCAUAGUUUGUUUGAUCAUUCAUUUUCUAAUCUUUCUUCUUUAUAUUUAAUUAGUUGUUUAAUUUCUUAAAAAAGAAUUCUGGUUUAUUUAUAGUAUAUUUGGUAGUAUGCAUGCCUCAGCUCCUUUAAUGCAUGUCUCUUACAGUAUAUUUGGUAGUCUUUUAUAAUGUUACACCCUUUUUUUUAAUUCCUAAAACCUUUUAACUUUCCAAAUUUUCAUUCAUUCUUUUAGAAAAUUAUUUUCAUUAUUUUUUUAUGGUUACAAAACCAUCCAUUAACUACAUUAAUUAGACAAUUCACUCCAAUAAUAAAUAAAUAACUUUUUUGGAUCUAAGGUCUUUUCUCAUUCUACAAAUUUAAUUUACUAUAUAAAGGUUAUUAUGCUAAUUGAAAAAUAUAUUUCUCUCAAGUAUGCAAUGACAGAAAAUUAGGUUAUAAAUAUAAAAAAAAAAUUAGGUAUUUUAAUUUUUUUUUUUUUUAAUUUUUUUAAUUUUUCUCUCAAGUAUUCACAUGUUGUUACUUGUCGAACCAAAAAAGAUAAAUUCGCGGUGAAAACUCUUUAAAAACCCAAUUCGUGGAAGGAAAAUUUGAACUGUGGCGUUGAGUUAUUUUGUUGUUGAAGAAGAUCAGUAAAAAACCCACAGCAUUAAAACUUCUUUUUGUUUCUUUAAGUAUAUUUUAGAUUGCAGCGUAUUUUCUAUUUGGGUUUAGUUAGGGUUUCUCUUGUUUAUUCCAAGAUAUGCAUGGAUAGUUCAUGUUCGACUAUUUGGAAAGAGGGAUUUAUGUAGCACGGGUAUUAUAUUCUGUUUUGGAAGUGUCGAGAUAAAUUAAGGACUUUUUUAAUCUUCUUCAAACAAACCUAUACGAAGGCGAAGAAUAAUUUGUGCUUGUAUUUUAGUAGGAAUAAAAAGAAACAUGAAGAGAAUGCCCACGAGGAAAAUGACCAUGAGAAAAAGUUGUGUAUUCCUCCAUCCAUAACUGAGCUCUCUAAUGUGUAUUCCUCCCUCCAUAACUGGCUUACUUUGGACUGUUUGGAUAGAAAGAAGAAUCCUUCGAAGCCCUAGACUUGUCUCUACCGCAUUCGAAAAUGCCAAGUUCUCUCUGAGGAUCUCUAACUUCUGUCGUGUUCACCGUCUGUCCGUCCGUCUGCGUUCACCACGUCUGCGUUCACCGCGUUCACCACGUCCGAGUUUAUCUAAUAUAUUUUUCCAAAUCUUAAAGAAGAACUUUUGAUUCCAUUGGAGUUUAUCAUUAGAGGCAUUAUUAUAUUGGCUGCCUCUCAGUGGGCUAUAGGUUUUCCAAAGGUCAUUUGAGACUGGUUGAUAAUAGCAAAAGUUAGAGCUUGAGAAGAAGGAGCGAAGAAAGUAGUGAAGACAAAAGAAGAAAGAAAGCUGAGUGAAAAACGAAAAUUGACAAGGUAGAGAUGUGACAUGAAAAUGAUGAUGAGAAGUGAAGGAGGCACGACACAAUACUGGUACACAAUAACAAAGCCUUGAUAAUUAAAAAAAGGAUGGUGCCAAAAAAUUUAAAUACAAAAAAAAUGAAGGUUCUUGCAAGUGUAUUGAGUGAAUGGAGAAAGAAAGGAUAAAAAAGGUAGAAAGAGAGAAAGAGAAGUCAAGGGUAGAGAUACAUAGCUUUGUAUAUAGAAACUUUAUGUUUAUACUCCAUUAUACGUUGUGGAGAAUAUAACAUCCUGAUAUGUUUGAUUCAAUUUGAAUGAUGCAAUUAUUUAUUUUUCUGCAAUAAUUCUACUUCUAGAACCUAAAUUUUGAAAGCCUACUAAUUUUUCAGAAUUAAUUCGAGACCCCACUUUUGCUCCCCUUCCUACCUACGGUUACUUUUUGCUUAAACUUUAAAAGUUGUUUGAAAAUUUUUGCUGAAACUUGUAAAAUUUGUUUGAAGUUCGUUUAUCUCUCACAUAUUGCAAGGUUUCUUAAUUAUUUUAUUGAAUUUCCUACAUAAAUGCAUUCAAACAUGAGUUGACAUAAAUGCAUUUUGCUAUCAAGAGAGUAUACCAUACAUGCAUGUGUAGGACUUUUAUCCCUUAUAUUUUAUAAUUUGUCUUACUACUGUUAUUGACUGAUAUACCAAUAUACAUGUGUAAAGUAUUGAUCAUAUAAUUAAUAUUAAAUUUAUUACAUUCACUCAUCAAUUUAAGUUUUUUAGUCAAUGUUUGUUCAUGAUGUACCAUGGUCAUAUCAUAAUAGAAUAGAUCCAAGAUUAUAUAUGUUCAAACCAACUGGUGAUUUAAUUAUCAAAGAUAUUAUGAUUUUGUCCAGUUUUUUUUUUCAGUCACUACUAGAAAAAUGGAUUUUAAUCAAGACAUUGUGUCGUUGAAAAUAAAAGAAAAAAGAGGUGGAUGAGGUACAUUGUGUUGUUGAAAAUAAAAAUAUGGAUUAUUUCUUAAAACAAUCAUAUUGACACAAUUUAAUUUAUUUCAACACAAUUUUUGCGUCAUUAAUUAACAACAAUUUUUUUGUCAUUAAAAAAAUUUUCAAAUGAAAAAACCUCAAAUUUAAAAAAUAUUCGAAGUGGGCUACCGAGUCGUUAUGAAGAACCCUUGCCCUCAAUUUUUUGCCACUUGCCGUCGUCGAUUCCACACUCCAACCACUGUUGUCGUUGCUCCCACAACAAGCCUUCGCCAUCAAACCCACCAAUCUAGCCACUUUCGUCGAAUAAAUUUAUUUAGAAAUAUAAGUUUUAAUGACACUUGAAAUCAAGAAAAAGGGAUAUGAGGGAAUAAAAUGUGUCGUUAAAAAUAAAAAUACAAAAUUUUUUGUGACACAAAUUGAGUUUUCUUGACAAAAUUUUGGCAUUGUAAAUAGUGGCAUAAAUUAUGUGUCAUUAAAAAUUACCCUAAUAAAAAAUCAAUGUUUUCCUUCAAUCAUACGCUUUUUGAUUUAAAACAAAUAAUUCGAAGCUUUCAUCCCACUUGUGAACAAUGACCGAAAAAAACCUUACUUCAUCCCACAUCGUCGCUGUCUUUAGCUCUCUCGCAAAUGCUCUCUGGCGACGUUCCCCCCUCUCUCGCAAAUACUCUUCACGACUUUUCCUCUCUCUCAAAAUUAAGCUCUCCGCCCACCAUUUGAAGGAACUCACCAAAUUUGCAAGUAAUUGAAGAAUUCGUGGUCCAUGAGAUAGAUUAAGUCCAUUUAUGAGUUAGUUUGAUUAUAUUAUGUCACAUAUACAUGUAUUACAAUUAAGGGACACUUGCAAAAAUGGCAAAAUAAGUUAUAAUAAUUAAGUCCAUAGAACACAUACCUUAUUAUUUGAGAAAGUGACAAAAACAAAGACCAACUCACACAUCAAGAGGUAAAAUGUCACAAAUGCCCUCGUUAUUGAUGUACAUUUGAUACACCUUAUACAUGUCUGAUACACCUAAUACCUCUUGAUACAUUAAGUCCAUUUCUGAGUUAGUUUGAUAGAUUAUGUCACAUAUACAUGUAUUACAAUUAAGGGACACUUGCGAAAAUGGCAAAAUAAGUUAUAAUAAUUAAGUCCAUAGAACACAUACUUUAUUAUUUGAGAAAAUGACAAAAACAAAGACCAACUCACACAUCAAAAGGUAAAAUGUCACAAAUGCCCUCGUUAUUGAUGUAUAUUUGAUACACCUUAUACACGUCUGAUACACCUAAUACCCCUUGAUACACUUGAUACUUCUUACUGAUACACUUGAUACAUUUGAUAGAUACAAUUCAUGCACUCGAUACUAAUUGAUACACUCGAUACUUUUUGAUACACACUUGAAACAUCUUCAUACACAUAAUACUUCUCGUUACACUUGAUUCUUCUUGAUACACUUGAUUAGUUUGAUACACUUAAAGACUUCACUUAUAAGUUUGAUACACGUGAUACACCACUAAUAAACUUGUUAUACUUCAUUGGUACACUUAACAAAUUUGAUAUGUUUGAUGUACAUGCACUACAAGAAAUUUACCCUUUGUCGAUGACAAAUAUCGUCAGUAAAUCUUCAAAAACUAAUCAACUUUUCUUUUGCCAACGAAAUUAAGCUGUCAACACACACCGUCACGUAGGUCUAUUGGAAGAUCCUCUAUCGAUGGCAGAAAAUAAACUGUCAGCAAAAAUAGGAACUAUUUUGAGAUAACGUUUGUGCGUACAAGUGUGUGCGUUUGUGCAUGUGUGUGUGUGUGUGUGUGUGCGUGUGGAUAGGUGUGUGUGUGCAUGCGUGCGCUUGUGCAUGUGUGUGUGCGUGGGUUCGUGCGUCUGUGGGUGUCUGUGUGUAGGUGUGCGUGUGCGCCCGUGUGUGUAAGUGUGCAUGUGUACGUGUGUGCGCAGUGCUUCUAUGCUUGUGUCCGAACAAGUUAAUAUUUUUUAAUGUUGAGUUUCUUCCAAUUUUAAAAUAAUAAUUUAAUUAUCUUCCUAUUUAAGGCAUUAAUGUUAUUUUGAGAUAAAGAUAGUGAACAGGUUGAUAUUUUUUAAUUUUGAAAUUCAAUUAAGGUUAUUUUAAUACAAAAUCUAUCGUUGAGACUCUCAAAUUCCGAAAAAUAAUAAUUUUGUUAUUUUGAAAUUCAAUUUUGUUAUUUUGAAAUUCAAAUUCAAUUAGGUUAUUUUGAAAUUAGUAUGAUUGAAUAAAGUUAUUAAUAUGUUGAAUUAAUUAGUUGAGUCUCGAGAUAUUAAGAAAAAUAUUAUGAUAUGAGUUGAUGUAUCUAUUUCAAGUAAAAGCUAAUUAAAAGCUGAGAAAUACACAACAUAAAUUAAUUACAAUGUAGAGACGAAAUAAUUACAGUUGAAGAAUGUUGAUAUUUUGGUAUUUUAUAAAAUACCAUGCACGUGCAAAAAAUGCUAGUUGCUAAAAUUCAAAGGAAAAAGUAGUUUUGUCAUUUUUCCAAAUGACCCCUAAAAACGUUGUUAUGUCUCUUAUGACAAAGAGUGUAGAUCUACUGAUCCAUAUUUGAUUUGUUUUUUGUUAGUAAAAUUGGAUAAGACCGCAUUAUAUUGAAAUAAUUACACGAAUGACACUUUUAAGCCAAUAUUGAUAGAAAUUAUAAUUUAAUCAAUGUUAUUAAGUCAAAUGAACAUGGUUUAAAACUCUUUCUAAACAUAAUUAAUGUAUUUGUUUUUAACUUUAAUUAAUUUACACAUCUUUGUGCGUGUGUGCAUAUGUGUGUGUGCGUGUGCGUGUGUGGAUGAGUGUGUGUGCGUGCGUGUGCGUGCGUUGUGCACGUGUGCGCGUGUGCUUGUGUGCGAACAAGUUAAUAUUUUUUAAUUUUGAAAUUCAAUUAAAGUUAUUUUUGAUACAAAAUCUAUCGUUGAGAUUCUCAAAUUUCGAAAAAUAAUAAUUUUGUUAUUUUGAAAUUGAAAUUUAAUUAGGUUAUUUUGAAAUUAGUAAGAUUGAAUAAAAUUAAAAUCUUGAAUCAAUUAGUUGAGUCCUGAGAUAUUAAGAAAAAAGGAUGUAUCUUUUUCAGGUAAAAAAUAAUUAAAAGCUAAUAAAUGCAUAACAUAAAUUAAUUACAACGUAGAAACGAAAUAAUUACUGUUUGAGAAGGUGAAUAUUUUGGUAUUUUAUAAAAUAUCAUGGACACGUGUAAAAAAUUCUAUUUGCUAAAAUUUAAAAGAAAAAGUAGUUUUGCCAUUUUUCAAAAUGACCCAUAAAAACGUUGCUAUAUCUCUUAUGACAAAGAGUGUCAUCUACUGGUACAUAUUCGACUUGUUUUUUGUUCGUAAAAUUGGAUAAGACUGCAUUAUAUUGAAAUAAUUACACUAAUGACACUUUUAAACCAAUAUUGAUAGAAAUUAUAAUUUAAUUAACGUUAUUAAGUCAAAUGAACAUGGUUUAAAAGUCUUUCUAAACAUAAUUAUUGUAGUUAUUUUUUAAUUUUAAUUCAUUUAUACAUCUUUGUGCAUAUGUGCGUGUGUGCGUGCGUGUGCGUGAGUGCGUACAUGUGUGCGUAUGCGCGUGUCCACGUGUGCGUGGGUGUGUGUGUCUACGUGUGCGUGGGUGUGAGUAUCCACAUGUGCGCUUUUGUGCGUGUGCAUGUGCGUGUGUGUGCGUAUACGCGCGCGUGCGUGUGUACGUGAGUGGGCGUGUGCGCUUUUUGUGCUUUUCUUCCAAUUUUAAAAUAAUAAUUUAAUUAUCUUGAUAUUCAAGUCAUUAAAAUUAUUUUGAGAUAAGGUUAUUUUAAUAUAAAAUCUAUCGUUGAGAUUCUCAAAUUCUAAAAAAUAAUAAUUUUGUAAUUUGAAAUUCAAUUUGGUUAUUUUGAAAUUCAAAUUCAAUUAGCUUAUUUUGAAAUUAAUAAGAUUGAAUAAUGUUAUUAAAAUGUUGAAUUAAUUAAUUGAGUCCUGAGAUUUUAAGAGAAAAGUUAUGAUAUGAGUUGAUGUAUCUAUUUCAAGUAAAAAUUAAUUAAAAGUUGAUAAAUACAUAACAUAAAUUAAUUAUAACGUAAAAACAAAAUAAUUAUAGUUGGAGAAGGUGAAUAUUUUGGUAUUUUAUAAAAUACCAUGCACGCGCAAAAAAUGUUGUUUGCUAAAAUUGAAAAGAAAAAGUAGUUUUGCCAUUUUCCAAAUUGACCCCUAAAAACGUUGGAUUUUUGUGUAUUCCCUUGGGUUUUCUUGUUCAAUAUUUAGUCAAAUUGCAGUAUACCUAAAAUUUGUGUUUGUUACGUCACAAGAUUUCAUUCACUAUUUGUGUCUGUAUUAUUUUAUAUUUUAUACAGGAGACUCCGUUUGAGUGUUGAGCUAGUAAUGGGAGGGACUACCGUUGACCCCAAAAUUACAAGGUUUCAUGUUGCUUACUGGAUCAUUAAUGAUUCGUCUCUAUCACAUAUAAACGAUCGCAUAUCCCAUCUAAAAUAUCGAUCACCCUUGGUAAAACAACCGUUUAGAUAUUCUACACGAUUGUUUGCUUAAGGAUACACGAUCAUUUUGUAACUAUUUUUUUUAUUAUCCUUUUUUCUUUCUAUACUAGAAUCAGAAUCAAUUGUUUGAUGAUAUUAACAACAUGUAUGAUGAUCUUCGUGAUGAUUCUAGUCAUCACAAUCUGGACAAGAAUGAUGACCAUCAAAAUAACAAACAUGUGAUCAUCCAUGAGAAUCCAUCUGUUCAAGAGUAACAUAUUCAAGAAUCUACUGUAGAAACUCAACAGUUAGUGUUGUAAACUUACUGGUAUAGAAGUAGAUACGAUGGAUAAUGUAUUUGUAAACUGAGAAAGGUGUUAUGUAUAUAUAUAUAUAUCUUGACUGUCUGGUGUGUUGUUAUAGUAUCAACUGAUUUUGUGAUAGAUUGAAUAGAUUGAACGUAAGCGUGUUAAGUUGGAUUGAUGAUAUGAUGGAGUAGUUUGACUAUACUAGGAAUGGAUUGAUUAAAUGUUUAUAAUGGACUAAGGGAAAAUUGUUAGCUUUGUCGAUUGGGUAGUGUGCCUUGCAGGUGUCCUACAGGAUCACCACCAGUUGUGCAUUCUUCGAGACCACUAGACUGACAUGUGCUUUCUACAGAGCACUAGACUAAUAUUUGUGUCCUUUAGGGCAUUGGACUGGUUAUGUGUAUUCCUACAUGAUCACAAGACUUUUAAAGUGCAGGGCACCCCCAAUAGGAAGUUAACAAUUUUAUUUUUCUUCUAACAGGAUCAGUAGUGGGUCCCUUACUGGGUAUGUUUAUACUCACCCUUUUAUGUUUAAUCUUUUUCCGCGAAACUGCCAUAGGGAAAUGUCCUUCAAAUUGCUUCUACUUUAUAUUUUUUUUAUUUUGGUUUUCUUUAGUAAUUGAGACUGUUUUGGGUUUCAUGAUUGAACGACUUUUAUGUUCUUGAACUUUCUUUAUUAUCGAUACUUUUACACUUUCAAAAUUUUAUUUGAAAUAGAGCCCGAAUAAAAACUCUUUAAUGUUGUUAAAAAAUAAUUUUUUUAAAAUUAUAAAGUCUUAUGGUUAAAGGACGAAUCUAGUCUUAAAGUAAUAACUUCAGCUUAAUUCGAAAAAUUAGGUCGUUACAAUCUAUUUUGCAGAAAAGAAAAUCAUCGAUUUUAUUUUGGUUAAGAAAAUCUGUUUUUCUUCUACAUAUUUAUAACUCUCUUCUUUCAUUGAGUAGGAGACGGGUAGGAGAAAAUCAUAGGAUUCUAUUAACUUAAAAAAUAUUAAAUUAAUAGAAGUUUCAAAUCAACUAACUAAUUAACCAUUAAUCAAUUAGUUAAUAAUUAAUUAAAUCAUAUUUAAUUAAUAUUUCAUUUAAAUCUUAUUGAAUGAAUAUCUCUCCAAUACCUCAUAGUUUUAUAUUAAUUUAAUUAAAUCAAAUUUAAUUAAAUAAUAUUAAACUAAACUAUUAAUUAAUUCUUCAAUUAAUUAAUAACUAAAUUAAAUAUUUUAUAUUUAACUUAAGUUAAAUUUGAAUCAUAUUCAAAUAUAACUUUAUCUCAUAAUUAAUAGUUUUAAUAUGAAACAAAUCCACAUUAAAUUAACAUUUGAACUCAUUCAAAUAUUUUAUCUCUCAUAAAUUAAUUUUGAACUUUAUCUAAAAUUAAAUUUAUAUAAUAAAGUUUCAUUAACAUAUAAACUUUAUAUUAUAAUGUAUCAUUAUAUAUUAUACUAAUUAUACUAAUUUCCAAAGUAAAUUUGAAUAUUUCAAAUUAGAACCAAUAUAAAUAAAUCACAUUAUCAUUUUGUAUCAUCCAUUACUUUCUAUUCAGUCAUACUAAUUGGAUCAACCUAAUACAUAAAACAAAUAUAGAAAAAUUAAAAAAAAAAAAAAGCAUGCACAAAUAGAGACAAAUAGACAUUCAAGCUAUCGUCUAUCUCUAUCUAUCUGAAACAAGCACCCAUAAAUUGUUAUAUUUCUCUAUCGGAUGGACAAAAAUAGCAGUCUAUUUAUAUCUACCUGAGAUACAAACAUUAAAAAAAAAAAAAAAAACCUUACCAAUAAAAUUCUUGACUUUUCAUGUUAUUCUAAAUGCAACACGUUCUCAGCCCAAGAAGUCAAACAACUCUUCAUUGUAAAAGUAGCUUUACUUCUUUCAUCAAACCACUUUUGCAAUACAUCUCUAAUUGUACUAGGCAUGGUAGCUACAGGUAGUUCUCUAAGAAGAAGAAGACCUUCUAAAAAGAAUCAACAGUUACAUGAGCAACUAAUGGAUGUAUAUUAGUUGCAUCUUUAGCAAAAGAUAAAUACCAAGCCACAUCAUUGUCUUUCUUUACUAGCACAACAGUUGGACCUUGCUUUUACCAAAAUCAAGUAAAACAGAUAAUUCUACUUAUCCAUCCAAUUGAAUCUGUUCACAUAUUAAAUCAACUAGAGAAUUAAAGCUGAGUCGGACACCUACCAAAAUUUUUCAGCAACUAAGUAAUUCUCAUAAAUAUUACAUCCAUUCCAUUGACCUCCGUAAAAAACAACAAUAGGAAAAGACAUUAUAAUCUGUAAAAAAAAUAAAUAAAAUAAAAUUAAGUAUUUAAUUGUGAUAGAAAGAAAUAGAUAGACAUAGAUAUACAUUUAUUACUGAAUAAAAGAAUAAAAUGUACAAAAUGAUAAUACUAAACACAAUGCAAGAAUAAGUAAACGAUCGUGCAAUGAAAUAAUAUACAUUAAACGAUCCUAUUAACCGUGAUAAACGACCAUUUAACAACGGUAAAUGAUAAUAUUGAUUAAAAUAAAUUAUCGUGUUGACAUGGGUACACGAUCAUAUGAUAUUGGUGAUCGUAUUGAAUAGUGUAAACAAUCGUCUUGUUAUCGGUACACAAUCGUGUUAAUAUUUGUAAGUGAUUCUAUUGAUAGUGGUAACUGAUCCUGUAAUUCCAUGUAAAUUAUCGUCAAAAUCUUUAAACUAUCGACCUUUAUAAUGAAGUACAUAAUUCUUACAUUAAUACUUAAAAUUUGUUGUAAUUACCCAACUUUUCUAACUAAGUUGAAGUCAUUAAUUUUGACAAAGAGCCUUGAUUGACACAAAAUAUAGUAAAAUUCACUUGAAAUCAUACGAUCAAAGAAAACAAACUUAAGUUUGGGCCCUAUUUCAAAUAACCAAAACUUUAAAAGUACUAUUCACAAAACAACAGUUUGUAAACUCAGUUCCAUCACAAAAUUUUUAAACAACCUCAUGUACAAAGGAAAAACAAGAAACAUAAAGCGGAAGCAUUUGAAGGACCUUCCCUUAUGGCAAUCACGUCUCCUUCUUGUCCCUCGUCGGUCUACCUCAUUUGUUACCUUUGCCUGAAAUAGUUAAACAUGAAAGGAUGAGUAUAAACAUACCCAAUAAGAGACUCGCUAUUGGUCCCGUUAGGGGAAAAAGAAACUGUUAACUUCCUAUUGGGGUACCCUGCACAGUCACAGUCUUGUGAUCCCAUAGGAUACACAUAAUCAGUCUAACGCCUCAAAGGAAGCAUAAAUCAGUCUAGUGUUUUGCAGAAACACAUAUUAGUCUAAUGCUCCCGAAGGAUGCACAUAUCAGUCUAGUGCUAUCGAAGGAUGAACAUAUCAGGUGGUGAUCCCGUAGGACACCUGCAAGGUAAACUACCCAAUAGAAAUCUAACAAUUUUCCCCUCAAUCCAUUCUAAACAUCUUAACACUAAUUCAUAGUACAAUCCAGCUACUUCAACAUAUAAUCCUUUCACUUAACACCCUAAUAGUCAACCUAUCUCACUUUAGCCCAAUGUCCGCCAGUAACAUAUCAAUACAUCAGUCAAUCAAACUAUAUAGUCAUAACACCCCUCAAUUCAUCAGUACGCAACCAUACUUUAGUAUAACCUACACCCAAUCUAAACGACAAUCACAAGUUCACAUCCACAUUCCAUACAAACACAAUCUACAAUUGUCGUCCUGUCUACAUCCAUACAUAUAUAUAUGUAUUCCCAGACAAUCACAAUAUGCAUUCAACAUCAAGUCUACAUCAAUCCAUGUAUAUAUUUUUUUUUCAGUCAUUCACAGCAUACAUUCAACACCAAGUCUACAUCCAUACAUAUAUAUAUCGUUUCAACAUCUUUACUCAAUCGGAGGUAACUAUACAGACAACACAAUUCAAAACUAUAGGCAAGUCCAGUAGUAGAGAAUUCCUUACCUUAUAACCUUACUUAAGCUUCUUUUUCAAACUAAAGUGCAACGAACCGACCUAAACAUAAUUGAAGAGAAAUCAAUCACUUCCACAAACAAUUUAAUCCAUUCAAUUCACUCUAUAUUAAAUUCCAUAACUUACCCAAAUUGUGGAGAAUCAAAUUCUAACGUCGGUGUGCAACAAAUAACCAAACAAUUCAGAUCUAAACAUACAUGGCGUGACGGAACCGGAGUGACUCGGGCUAACGGUGAUGCGACGAUAGGACAAAAUUUGCUUGACGUUCGGUGUAGGUGGAAGACGGUGGUGAAGUUGAUUGGAGAAGGAAAAGAGAAGGAAGAAAAGAGAUGGUGGUGUGGCCGUAGGUUGAAGAGGAAGAGAAAGGAAGAAGAUGAAUAAGAAAAGAGAAAAAAAAUAAGAUUAAAUAUUAUAAAUAUAUAUAUGAAAUAAAAAAAUAAAAGUAGAAUAACGAUGAAAUUUUGAAAAAUGAAAAUUUGGAUAAAGUAAAAUUUGAAAAUAAAGAUUUGAUACAAAUCCAAUAUUUGGAGAAAAAAAGUGUGUUAAGAUAAUGUAGGAGAAAAUCAAUAUUUAUGCUAAAAUUUUGCAUAUUUCAAAAUUAGUUACAGUUUAACUAAAAAGCAGGCGAGGGGAUUUUAGGGUUAAUGAAAAUUCAAAACACGUGAAAUGCUCAUGUUUGCUAUUCUUCUAAUAAAAUUUUGCUAUUUUCUCAAAUGAGUGUAAUCCAACAAAAUGAAGUGUUGUGUGUGUGAACAAAAAUGAGGUAAAUAGCUUUGAUGAUGAUGGCAAAUGGGUAAAGAAAAUCUUAUCUUAUUCUUCACUUUUCAUUUAAUUGACAAAAAGUAACCAACCAUAUGAAGGGAAAAACAAAAUGCUCUCCCAGUUACUUUACUCAUUUCUUUGUUCUUUGUGUGGGAGAUAUUUGAAAUGGAGAUGAAGAUCAAAAUGAAAGAGAGAUUAUGCAUACACUGUGAGAAGCACACAGAAAAAUUGAAAAUAAAUUGAAAAGAAGAGAGAGAUAAGUCUGAGGGAGAAAUAUUCAUUUCCUUUUCAAAGUGAAUUGCAAAGAAAUUUUCUCAAUUUGAAAAGAAAGGAGAAAUAUACAAAGUCAGCCACCGCUUCUCCUCCCUUCAGUUAGCAGUUUUCGUCUCCCUCUCUUCUAUUAUUAAAAUAAAUAAAUAAAAUAUCACAACCCGACUUAACACAAACUAUUUACUCCAACUUUUUCAACUACAAAUUUAAUUUCUCAACUUUUAAACUAUUUUAAACUUACAAAUCUACUUUAUUCAUUUCUUCAGAUUUAUAUCUAUUAAAUAAAAAAAAUCAAAAUUUAUAGACACUUAAAACAUAAAAUUGAAAGACCUAUUAAACAAUUGAAAGGUUUAAGAGGUAACUAGACAAACUUUAAAAGUUCUAAGGGAAAGAAUCUUUUGUUUAACUAUUACAGUAAUUAAUUUUGAAAAUAUGUUAUUUUAGUAAGUUCAAGAUCAAAGACAAGCUAAACAAUAAAAUGUUGCGACAAGAAAACAAUCUAAUCAUAAUUAGAAACAUGGAUGUAUGUAUUUGUACACCAAAUCACAAAAAAUAACUCCAGAUUUCGAUAUAGAGACAAUUAAAAACUUGAACAAAUUUGAUAAUUAAAGAAACACGGAGAUGGCCAUAUGACCCCUUGUGCAUAGACUUUUUACAUUACAUGCUCAAGUUUGGCUAGUGUAUCAAUAAACAAUAUGUAUGGAACACUCGGAGAACACUUGUUGAACACUAGUUAGUACAGUAGAUGUGUUAGACAACAAGUAUUCCAAUGUAAUAAAGGUCAAGAUUGGUCACACACACAUAUUAAACUCUUGGCUUUGAAUAAGUUUUGAGUGAAGGACAAGCUUAUUUUUAAGCAUAUAAAUACAUAAACUUAUUGACUUUGAAUUUCUAUAUAAAUAUGAUACAUACUUUUUAAAUUAUAUAUAUUAAAACUGUGUUCUAGCGCUAUCCUAUAUUUUUUAGAAAAAAAUGGCACGUCACCAUGUCUAUGAUUUAUUGACCCAUGUCUAGAAUUCAUAUACGUGCUUGUUUGUUGAGAACUUCACAUCUUCAUUAGAUGGGAGGAUAGCCAUAUUAUAGUGGUUGUAUAUGUAAUAUAGAGAACCAAACCUAGUACUCGAGAUUUGUAUAACAACAGAGAACUUACAUUUCCACCGGCUGACUUGAGUAUCAAGGAUAGAGUUUUAGGUGGUGGUUGAGCGUGAGCUGAUAUGCAAACAUUAUACCCUUCAAAUAAAGCUCCAGGACAUGCUUUUGCCCUGAGAACUGUAGCUUUUAGGCUGGCUGGCUCGAUACUUCGAUAUGUAGUCAUCAUCGUUUAGUAUGUAAGGCAACUCGUCUACAGAUCAAUAAGGAAUUAAUCAAUCACAAAAAUUAGGUAGGAUGAAAAACAUAAGUGGAAGAAAAUACAUUACGCUUUGAUACUAGCAAGCCAUUCGAACUUACCAACAAAUCUACCUUCCCGGUAGCUUUCCUUUAACCAACUGGAGGAGAAAAUCCAAGCUCUGAGUAAUUUGCAAUUAACUUGCAAUUUUAGUAACAAGAUAUAGUAAAAAUUAUGAGCAAGAGCACACUGACACGCUUGAAGCCACAUGGUAAUGCAUAUGCUCGAUAAUCAUUGAGAACAUUAACAGGAGAAAAUAAAGUUAAGAACAGUAGCGUGAAGAACAAAAAACAUUCUACAACAUAAAAUCUUCAAAAACACAUUGCUUAUAAUCAAGUUUACUAAUAUAAAAGGUAAGAUAUUACUUUCCACUCUCCACACUACUAAAGUUCAACAUUUCACAUGAAAGAAAUGAAAUACUACUCUAAAAUAUAACUGAAAAAAGCAUAAAUGGGUAAAGAAAAAGCAUAGAGAAAUGCAAAAGAAUCCUUGGCUUUGAUAUAUUGAAAGGUAAAGAAUAUCAACCAUAGAUGCCCGGGAGAAGAACUCUACAAAUACACACUUAACGCAGAUUAUCAUUGCUAACAUGAGACCUUCUAGAGGAAUUCUAUUAGGAUACUUCCUAACAAGAACAAGAUCUUAAUUUAUUAUAAUGAAGUAUAAGAAAAUACAAGAUAAAACCAAGUAUAAGGCACUUGGAACCUCCCUCUUGAGUACUCUCACCCAAGCCCUAGAUCACUCCCCAUAAUUCUCCCCUCACUUACCCUCCCUCAAUUUAUAAUAAGAUGUAACCACACUUACAUAAUAACUACUAGUAACUUUCUAAAUAUCUAAUUACCCUUAUACCCCUAACCUUAUACUAAUCUAGGUAUCUAACAUUACCCGAUCCUUCAAAACACCUUGUCCUCAAGGUGUGCUUACAAACAUGAUCAAGGCCCCUUUCUCUUUUUUUCUCUUUUUAAUUGCAAACAAUCCCCAACAUUCUACUCUUCAAUGUUGAAAAAGAAAUCCUCCCCUUCGGCUUUGAAAAACUCUCGAUUCCAAUAAGGUCCAUUGACUUCAGCCCACAAAGCAGCCCAAUGUACUUGAAUUUUCCUUUUCCAAAACACAUUGUCUUAGUUAACCCUUUGCAUAUCACCAACAAGUGUUUAAUUUUCAAACUCUUCAUCUCUAUUGGGCUAGGCCAUAAUCAAAGUGUUGCGUCAAGACCAAAAUCAUACUGCCGCCGGUUUCAUUCCUAGAACCCACCUACAUACACGUUUUUCUUCCCUCCUAUUUUUGGAACUCUCCACCCAUUUCAUCUACAAAAUGAUGUGCCCCCAAUGUUUUAUUUAGAAUAAGUUGAAGCUUAUUUAGAGUAAGUUGAAGCCCACUUGAAAUAGUAAAACCCAAGAUUGUUACUUUUGUCUUAAUCCUCUUUCCUACCAAUUUCUACCACGUCAUUGGCACCAUCAUGUGUGCAACAACUUCUUCCUCGUCACGUGAUUCACCCCUAUUCCAGACCACCUUCUCGAGCCUCUGUAGACCGGCAACUGUCGGCUUCUUCUUUCUCCAUUGCAACCAGCCAUUUUGUGUUUCUUUGAGCAACAAAUUUUUCUUCACUCGAGUCUUCAUUUCGAGCCCCACAGGUAAUCCUCGUCGACCUUCCUCUAUAGUUUCUUCUUGGUCACUCUUUGCCAUCCUCUUCACCUUCGUUGUAUAACCGUUGCAAUCAUGUUUUCCUCGAUUCUUCUAUGGAUUUAGCAACUUCUUGGAAUCCAUCGAUUUAUGGACCUGAAGAUUCCAAUCCGUUCUAAAUAAACACAAUCCAGAUCAGUGCCACUCAACACAGGCAUUUCAACCUUCUUGAAUUUGCUAUGAUCGUUCGAGUUUUCAUCCAUUUCAAACUUGUUUGUUUUACCUUCUACCUUGAUUUCCUUCAAUGUCUUACCUCCACCUUCGAUGAUACUCUCAAUCGUUUGUCCUUUGCUCGAUGAUCCUUCCAUUCUUCCGGAGAUUGUCGAAUUAUCCUUCUGCUAUUCAUUUGAUGCAUUUAGCAACCGUUCUUGUUUUUCCAACUAGAUGACUAGUCUUUCGAUGCUUUUUGGCAAGCAUAACAAGUUUUCUUCAAUUGCCAGCAACUUGUGUAACUGAACUUGUAUCUCUGAGAUUUCCUUAUCAGAGGUCUCCAACUUCUCUUCGAUCCGUUUUGUACUGCUCUAUCGUUCUCCCAAGUAAAAUCGCUUUGAUACCAAUUUGUUAAGAUACUGUAAAUAUACGACAAGUGCAUCUUACUUUAUCGAAUUACCUCAACGAAUUACAGUAUAGAGAAUAAAAAAUCACUCACAUCUACUUCCUAAAGGCACACUCCAGUGAGGAUCACAACAAAGAACAAGAAAAACUAAGAACAAACUGCAACCAUCAAAAUGACCAAAACAAACAAUAAAAAGAACUUGACUUGGACCCUCUACUUCUCCCGAGCAUGAAAGACGGCAGCCUCUACUUCUUUGGAAUAUUUUGUCCCCUUUUCUCCCUCCUCUUUCCUCCCUUUUAUUUUGCUUUACUAACAAACUAAUGGGAAAGAUCUCCUCCAAUAUUCUCUCCUCCUAUAAUCUCUCCUAUAUUCUCGUGUGGGUCAAUAUUACCCUUUUUAAUUCUUCUACUGUAUUUAAAUAAUAUUGGAGACAUAUGCUUCCUAACAAGAACAAGACUUGAAUUUAUUAUAAUGUAACUAUAAGAAAAUACAAGAUAAAACCAAGUAUAAAACAUUGGAACCCUCCCUCUUGAGUACUCUCACCCAAGCCUUAUAUCACUCCCUAGAAUUCUCCCCACUUACCCUCCCUCCAUUUAUAAUAACAUGUAACCAGCCUAGUUACCACACUUAAAUAAUAACUACUAGUAACCACACUUACACAAUAACUCUAAUUACCCUUAUACCCCAACCCUAUACUAAUCUAGGUAUCUAACAAAUUCCAUAACAUAAUGUAUUAGGGGAAGAAGGAAAUCGAGGAUAAAAACACUAGCUAGCCAACAAAUAUCUUUCAUUAGUGAGCUUGAGCCAUUUUACACGUAAAAUGGGAAAAGUAAGCCUGAAACCCAAAUUAGCCUAAUGGUUGUCUUAACAACCACUACCCACCAUCAUGAUAGAAACAACUGAAAAGGAAGAGCAUGAUACAAUCCAACUCAAAUAUAAGAAUUGAUUUUGAUGUUUAACUAAAAGUAAACAGGCAGUAUAAUAAGAAACUAUGGCCUUUUAGAUCUAGAAGGUUCACAACAAUUUCCAGCCUAAACACAACUACGAGCCAAUGGAAGAAUAACGGCAAAGGCCUUGUGUGCAUGGAAUCGCUAACUUUGGUGCAAAUGAGAUGAUUAUCGGUAUUCAAAGGCCAAAAGGACACAUAGAAGAGUGUUCGUCUAAGGUUGGAAGACUAACCCUGAAAAGAGCAAUACAAAAAUUUAGAGUUUUCCGCACUUUUCCUGUAAUGACAUGAGUGCUUGUACUCCCAUAAGCAGUGAGAGAACCACCAAGCUCCUCAAUCAUCUAAAUCAGAAAACAAAUGCACAUUAGAGCAGUCACAAUUUGGAAUAAAUAGAACUUUUUAUUGUUAGAAUCUUAGAAUAUUUACGAAAAGUUUAUGGGAAUAUUUUUCUUAAUUCCUAAAUAUUUUCCUUUUUUAUUCCUCUGUAUAUUCUAUUUAUUCUCCCUUGUACCUAUUGUAUUUUUCAUCAGAAAAUAAUAAGAAGAAAAAUAUAGUGGUUUUUCUCCUGGUACACAGGUUUCCACGUAAAGUUGUGUGUUUGUUUGUCUCCCUUUCAAUAUGGUAUCCGAGCAGGUGGUCCAAGAAGGUCUUGUCUUCAAGCCUCGCAUUGUCGUUUCCUCCCCAAUUAAAAUCCAUUUCCAGUUGUUGGGCCUUUCAAAUAUUUCAAGCCCACAAGUGAGGAGAGUGUUGGUGAUCUAUAAUUGAAUUUUCUUUCUUUUUUUAAAAAAGGAUACGAGUCUCACUAUUAUUAAUAUAAAGAAAGAGACAAAGCUCAAUGUACAUGAGGAUUAUACAAAGAGCAAAAGGGGAGAGGGAAGAUCAAUAGGCGCAUCCGGGCAUCUCAAACUAGGUUGACACCCCCUUAGUGCCCUCAAAACAUCCAAAAAGCGACAACACAAGAUCAAAACAAAAAGCCACAAAAACAAAGACAAACAAAAUGAUAAAAAGAAUCUUUCCAAAGCAAAAUCAUAAUCAAAGGCAGCAUGCUGAGAACAAAGAAGAAUAAGCCUUGAUUGGUUGAGCAAAAACUAUUUGAAGAAGAGGGCUGAUCCGAAAGUCCUGAUCAUCAAAGACUUCAAAGUGGGGAUGCUGUAAAGGCUGGCCAAUAUAACACAAUAUCCUACGUCGAAGAUCUUCUUUUGCAUUACAUUUUCUAAAAUUUCCAAUCCACUCUGUUAAAGGCCUUUUCAAGGUCUAAUCUAAUGAUCCAUCUUUUCUUUUUUCAGAUACUAUAUACCUCCACAGUUUCUUUUGCUAUUAAAAUAGGAUCCAAGAUUUGGCACUCUUCCAGAAAGCCACAUUGUAAUGGAGAAGUAUGUUAGGAUUCUAACAAUAAAACACAAAAUAUCCUAACCAAAUGGCUAAACAGAGGCAGCACCCUGUAAUUCUUUAUUUAUGUAAAAGCCAAAACACAAUCAACAGUAGUAGAUAUGAAAAAUAAAGGAAGAACAACAUAGAAAACUUACCCAGCUCCUUUAUACGGGGCUGGAUACCCUCAGGCUACAGCAGCCUUUACUCUCCUUGAAAUAACCAAAAAACACCUAGCCUCCCCUACCCCAACAUUACAUAUUUAUACCUCUCUCUCUCAUCCCUCCUGGUGGGCCCCACCUGCAGGAUCCUCUCCCAUUAUUCUCUCAUCAUUGGUUGCUAAGGAAUUUCCCUUUCUACCCUUCCUUUCAUAGGUAUAGAUAAUAGGAGGUCUUACAAAGAAAUACCUGGCCUGACUUUCUUUAAUCUUUCUGCGAGAACCUUUCCAAACAACUUAUAAAUUAAUGUUGAAACAACUUAUAAGCCACACUGUAAUGACCUUCCUUCUCUUGACCGAACUUCAAUAAUCGACAACUUAUAUUUAUCCACAUAAUCAGCAAAACUCUUAAUCUGCCACUAGCUUCAAACAAAGACCCAACCAAUUCCUUUUGAACUCCAUAGUGCCUUUAUAAUACAACUGGCAAUCUCUUCUCUUUUGGUCUCCGGAAUCAAUGCUCUAUCUGGAUUAGCUUUCUUCAAAAGAUUUUUAAUAGCCAAUUGUUUCGAAUGGCCCAUGAAUCCUCUAGUGUUCCAUGAUAUAAUCUCCAUCUUUGCUACCUCUGCCUUAUAUCAAUUCAGUUUCACAUGCUGCCAAGAAAGGAACCAACUCUUGAGGGGGAAGGAUACUUGCUGAUCUGCACAAAAUUUCUUUUUAUGGGGAGGAAAACAAUUUAAUAAAAUCUGAAUCGAGAGAGUCACUGUCCUCUUGUUUCUCUGUCUCUGAUUGAAUUAUUUCUUCCUCAACUGGUUCAAAUUCUGCACUACUUACACUGGUGACUGAUUCAACUUCCAUGAAUUCAUCUUCUAGGUUCUUAACUUUUUUGAGACAAGAAGUAUCUUGCACAAAAUUAAAGAAUGAACCAGAAAGUUUGGAGGAGGAUUGAGAAAAUUUAUUACUUAAGGAGGAAGGCAGUACUGACCUUUUGCCAACUGAAUUUGGAAUUUGUAUCUUCACACAACUUUCCUCUAAUAAAUCAGAAUUAGCCAAGCUCAUCCAAAUGUUGCGAAAAGAAGUUCUCCCUUUGGUAUAGGUCUUGAGGUGCUUAGAAAAAUUUCUGGCAUGAAUUGGAAUAGCUUUCAUUGCAGAGGAUAUUUUAGUCUUGGGAGAGGCUGGUAAUUUUGGUUGAGAACUGAAAACAGGAGAUGGCCCGCAAGUGAAGUUCCUUGAUGGAGGAGAGGACUCUGAUUCUUCCUCCAAUUCGUCAGAAUACCAAAAGCCAUUGGAAUUCUGAUUAAUAAAAUUCUUGGGGCCUACCAUCUGUGUGUCAGCUUUUAAAAUAUCUGCAGAUACAUUAAGUUUGAAAAAAUCUGGUUGGGGAGGGCUAGGUGAGCUAUUUUUUUAGAUAAUAAAAUGCUUGGGUGCCUGUCUUUUCUUCUUUCGAGGUCUGUUUUUCUCUCUUUGCCUUCUGAAAAUUAUUUUUUCCGGUCGAACAAGGUUUUCUUCUUCCUCACCCAACUUCCUAAGUGCUUCGAAAGGAUUUCUUGAGAUGGAUGGGGCAUUCUGUUUGAGAAAAUUCAGGUAUCUGGGAGACCAUCACUUUGGAGCCCUUCAUCUAAAAUCACUGAAUUUAUUCUACAUAAAUCAAUAGGAUUGGAAAAAUCACUUUGAAAUAGAUCAAAUUGGAUUAUUACAGGAGCUUCUAAGGGUUCAAAAUCCCCAAAAUUAAGGGAAAAAUUUCCUCAGUUCUCACUCUUUAAUUCUAUAGUUGCUGGUAAGAAUCCGCAAAGAUUUUUCCGAACUUUAAUUCUUGCUUCAGAGAACUUGAUCAGAUUGAGUGUUUCUAAGAUUAUACUUUCUAGUCCACCAAAGUAGCUUAAGCUUAAGGCUAUAAUUGAAUUUUCUUUCAACCACCAGCUUAAACAUUUUGUGAAUCGGUGGUUUAAUAUUUAUAUUAAUAUUUUAUAAAAAAAGUAUACAACUAAUGCCAUAUAAAAUAAAUAAAGAAAUACUAUAAAAUCUACAUCCAUAAAAUAUGCAUGUGAACACAUAUCAGAAGAUGGAUAUUCGUAAGUUAGAAAGACCGAUCACAAAAUGUCAUAAUUAAACAACAACAUUAAUAUUAUGGGUAGUUUCAAGCUUCAUUUGUCUAUUUUAGGUAGGGAUAUUGAAUAACUCUUAAAAAUAAUAUAAAGAUUGAAUCCCUAAACUUCAUGUGCUUGCUAGUAUACAACCUAAAAGUUCAACAGUUAAAGAAACUGAUUAAUCAUUUUUGGCAGGAUGUCAGAUUCGCCUUUUGAAAUCCUACAUGAGUAGAGCCAGCCAAAUAAGCCAAGCAAGAUAUGCCUCUUAAGGAAUAUGGAGAAGUUCAAUGACUGGUAUGUAUAUGAUAAGCCUUAACCCAAUUUUAUUUAUCAAUAAUGGAGGGAAGGAAUCAGAAGCUUCUCUAGCUCUCCAAUUAUUCUAAGAAACCUGAUACAAGCUAUGCCAAAACAUACCCUCCCCAAACAAUCAUAAUAGCAUUUAUAUGAAAGCAUAAAAGACUCAUGGCCCCCUUAACUAGCAACAUUCAGACCAACAAAUACAGCUUCCCAUCCUCCUCUCCUGAAUCCUUUCUUGUGCCUACGGGUGUACACCUUCACUACCCUGGGCCUAUCAGUAUUUAGAGAUCGUAGAGGCUGUAUGAGCCAAGGAGCUGGAAGACUAGGAUUAGGGAAGUGUGGAGUUUUUCGCUCUUUGUUUGGCCAAAAGUGUUUGUCCGAAAUCCUACAGCUUCAACUAACUUUGGAAAGUCAGUCGAACACAUUGAAAUUCCCUGAAUGUGCGAAAUCCAUGGAUUUUAUUACACAUCCCAAAGGUGAACGACUUUGAGGCAUCUUGGUUAUAAUCAAUUGGUUCUCGAAGUACGCUACCUUCAUCCCCACUACAAAACUAUGUUCUGUCGAGCUGAUAGCACACUUGUUCUUUAAGAACGUCUUGAAGUUAUGAGGAGUUCCAUCAAGCAUUGUGAGUGACAGGGAUGGUAGAUUCAUUGGUACUCUCUAGACCGAACUAUUCGCCUUCUUGGGGACACGCCUAAAUAUAUCCUUAAUGCUGCAUCCUCAGACGAAUGGCCAAACUGAAGGAUUCAAUUGUAUGCUUAAGGAAUAUCUACGAUAUUUUGUUGAUUCUGGACAAAAGAAUUGGGCCUAGUUGAUGGAUGUGGCUCAAUUUUGUUUUAAUGCACAAACUAGUCUAUCCACAAGAACGAGUCCUUUCGAAAUCUUGAGUGGAAGACAACCUAUACUGCCUCAUAUUGUUGAUCAUCCUUAUGCAGGAAAAAAUCCUCAAGCUCAUAACUUUACAAAAACGUGGGAGAAGACUAUGAACAUCGCUCGAGCAUACUAAGAGAAAGUCUCGAAGCGUAUGAUAAGAAGCAUCAUCCUCUCAAGUUUUGAGCAGAAGACCAACUCUUCAUAGAGUUUAAAGCAAAGCAAAUUUGAUUUAGAGGACAUCAACAUCAACAUCUCACCAGAAAAAAUUUGGAAAUGCAUUAUAUAGGGUAUCGUUGCCUGCAUGGAUAAUACAUCAUCUAGUAGCUCAUGUGAGCAACUUGAAACCUUACCAUCAAGAUCCAGAUGACCAGUAGUGCAAUAAUGGUGUAUGGUCCUCUAGUGACCUAAAGCAGAAAGACGAUAAAGAAAUGGAAGAAAUCGUUCCUAAGAGAGUGAGGAAGGCUAUACCCAUGAAGAGGAUACAUGAAUUCCUACUGAAGUGAAAGAACCUCCAUGCGGAAGAAACACGUUAGGAAUGUGCUGAAGGGUAUACCCAGUCGACAGGGACGCCAAUUGUUUAAGAGCGGGAGAAUGUAACAAGCAUGCUUGUCCAGGGCGCUGUUUGCUUAUGGCCGCAUGCCCAAACACCCAAAAUUUACAUUGUUUUUAUGUUUGUAUUUAGUUUUACUUUUUGCUUUCCUUUUUAUGUCAUAAACCUUGGGUGUGACUUGGCUUUUUCUUAUGCAAGCCUACCAGAACUAAAAAAGUCUAAAAUGUACUAUAGAUGGGACAUAGUAGUUGAAUCCCUGCCCAAGCCUUGUUGCACUCUUCGCAAUCAAAGUUUUUCUUUGCAAUUGACAAUCUUCAAUGCUUGCUUUAACGAUAUUUUCAUUGAAUUUCUUUCUCCUCACGUUUUAUAAAACAUUUUCUCAAGAACGUGAAGAGAGGCUACAUCGUAUCAUGUGUUUGUCCGUGGUUUUUGGAUUUUGAUCAGCUAACUUGUUGUCUACGUAAAACAAGUGCAACAUAAUCGCUCCUCUCGUGUUUGAAAGCUCGCGAUUGUGACACAAGAAAUGCACUAGCCAAGAAUGCACACGAGGAGGGCUACACGAAAUGCCAAGCAUGCAACCAAGUGAGGUUCACAAUGUGCUUGUGUGUGAGGUUAGCACGCGGGCAUGCCCAACGCGCGUGAAAAGCCUCUUGUGAGAUUCACACACACUAGCCAGCGCCCAACCAAGGCCUGCCGCCCACCCAUUCGUGUCAGGCAGUGUCAUAUUGCGUGUUGAGCUAUUUGGUAAUUUUUUGAGUUUUUUAAGUAUACUUUUGAUAUUUUCUUGGCAAAAGAUAAUUAAUUGUACUAUUUUACCAUUAUUUCAGGACAUGAGAAGAUCAUACAAAUUUAUAAACCAAGGAUUUGAGCUUGUAUCUUUGAGUGGAAAAUGUUUUAUUUAAAGUGAUUUCAAGCAUGUUCUUAAGUCAUGAUUUAUGACGGAUUUAUGCUAAAAUGUUUAAGUUAUGUUAUGAAAAGUCUUUCAAGCGUGUUAUUGUUUAAAGGUAUUUAUUCAAGCAUAUUGUUUACUCUUCAAAAUGCAUAAUAUUCAAAAUGUUUUCCCACUUUCUAGGUAGAGAUCGUGUCCUCUAAGCCUAACUUGAACCUGUCUACUGAAGGAUUUCAUUUUGUUAUCGUAUGUGUCCUGUUAUUUUGUACUAAUGGUAAAUUAGUCUUUUGUGCUAUCAGACUUAUGCUUUUGGAAAGGUUUUAUAAGGUUUUGUUCUAGAUAAAUAAGAUUACGUUUUUUCUAUGUAAAACUUGUCUAAGGUUGUUAAAUGAAAAAGGUUUAGCCCAAUUGGUUUUAGUAAAACUUAUGUGUUAUGUUUCCGCUGUUGUUUAGAGUUUAAAGGUUCAGGCUAAGGGUCAGAUAGUGUCGUUCUUGACGUGGGUGCUAUCGAUUGGCUUCACGCCAUAUCUCGAGCCACGCAAGUAGGUGCUCGUGGUGGGGUGUGAUAGCCUAAGUUGGCUUAUUAACGGUUAAAAUGUAAACAUGUCCAUAACAAAAUAGUUGGGCAAGGCCCAUGUGGACCGACUGGUAAAGGUUGAAGAGCAAAUGCUCUACCUAAUGAAAGUUCCUAACUCAAUUCGCUUCUUGGAAACCCGCCUUGAAGAAAUUUUUUAGAAAGCUGAUGCUAUUAAUUAAACCACCACCCAAAAUCUUAAGCUAGUGAUUAAAAGUAAAUUUAAUUAUAUAUCACUAACAAUCCCCCACUUAUGGGUUCGAAAUAUCUAAAAGGUCCAACAAGUGAAAAUCAAUUUUAAUUGGGAAGGAAACACCAAUACAGGGACUUGAACAUAAGACCUUUUGGACCACCUGCUCUAAUACCAUAUUAAACCCCAAAUUCACCCAAAAGCUUAAGCUAGUGGUUGAAGGUAAAUUUAAUUAUAUAUUACCAAAGUAUGAGGUUUCAUCACAAUACCAAUUGGCAAUGAGAGGAGUAGCUCAUCUAUUUUAUAAGGAGUCUAAGUUUCCUUGGUUUUUCAAUUGUGGGAACAUGCCCCUUCAAGAUGGUGCCUCUUUGGUUUCACCUAUCUUGAACCAAAUAUCCGUUUAGGCUUAAUGAGCUCUAAUACCAUAUUGAAAGCAAUAUAUACGAAACCAAAGCUUACGUGAAAACGUAAGAAUCGAAAGAAAAGCAUUGUGUUUGUAGUUUUAUUAUUUUUAUGAUAAUUACAGACGUACAAUUGGUGGUUUAAUAUAUAUCACUAACACUAUUGCUGCAAUGAUCGAUCAUCUCGAUGGAUUACCCAUUUAAGAGUUGUUGACAAGAGUUGACACUCUAGAAUCAAAAGUUGUAAGAACUAGAUGUUGUAAUAAAUGUCCUAAAACUCGUUGUAAUCAUAAUCUAUUCAUUAAAGUCGUUAUUGAUACUAUAAUCUUAAAGCCAAUAAACUAAGGACCCGAAGUUAUUAUUAAGUAAACUUGAACUUUAUGUAGAGACAUAAAAGUUGAUCAAGUUUAAGUAUAGAGCCUAAAUAGUAUAGAUUGUACGAAUACAGUUAGGCACCUUAUUCCAGGACACAAUGAAUGCAGUCUGCUUUGUAUUUAGUAUAAACGAUGUGAUCCUAAAUCCUAGAGACAUGAAAGUGUGGACAUCCUAUGUAAAGAGUUUACAAAAGACUAGAACCAUGAAAUAGUCACUUUUAAGUUAUAACACCGUUAACUUUGAAAAACUUACUAUUUCAUUGAUAGAUAUCAAAUAUAACUUAAUCUUAAUACUGAGCUAACUAUAAGCUUCUUGUUCUCACCAGCAUGCUUGUUUAAGGCGUUGUUUAUCUAUGGCCACAUGCCCAAAUACCCCCAAAUCACCUUUUCUUUAUGUCUUGUAUUUAGUUUAGUCUAUUGCUUUCCUUUUUAUGUCAUAGACCUAGGGUGUGAGGUGUCACACAUUUUCAUUUGCAAACCUGUCAAAGCUCAAAAAGUCUAAACUGUACUAUAGAAGAGACCCAAUAGUUGAAUCCCCAACCAUGUCUUAUCGUAUUCUUUAUAAUCAAAUUUUUAUUUGCAAUUGAAAGUCUUCAACGCUUUCUUUAAUGAUGUUUUUAAUGAUAUUCUCUCUCACAUUUUAUAAAAUAAUUUCGUGAGUUUGUUCGUGAUUUUCGGAUUUUACAUGACUGACUUAUUGACUGAGCAAAACAAGUGUUCUACAAUUGUCCGUUCCAUGUUUGAAAGAUUGCGAUUGUGGCACGCAGAGUGUCACAAGUGUGCUUGUCCAAGCAUUAUUUGCCUAUGGUCGUAUGCUCGUAUAUCCUCAAACCACUUUAUCUUUAUGCUUUGUACUUAGUUUAGUCAACUGCUUUCCUUUUGUUGUCACCGACCUAAGGUGCGUCGUUUCGCAAUUUUCAUAUGCAAUUGUCAAUGCUAAAAAAGUUUAAGAUGUAUUGUAGGGAGGCAUGGUAGUUGAAUCCCCAACUAAGCCCUAUUGUGAUUUUUGCAAAUCUAAGCUUUCUUUGCAAUUGACAAUAUUCAAUUUUUUCUUAAGGAUGUUAUCAAUGUUUUUCUUUAUCUCUCACGUUUUAUACAACCAAUUUCUCUCAAAAGAUGAAGCGAGGCUACAUCGUACCAUGAGUUUAUCCGCAACUUUCAAAUUUCACAAGGUUACCUUGUUCAUCAAUUUAGAACAAGUGUUGCACAAUCGCCCGUCCCGUAUUUGAAAAGUUGCAUUUUGACAAGUGGUAUUAAAGCUUUCUUAGCUCCUUGGCUAAGCGAGAUGCAAUUAUGUCGACAAUGAAACAACUAUCAAAGUUGCAAUCUGAGCGACUGACUGAGACUGAAGAGAAUUCUUGGAUAUGAAAGAAUUGCCAAAGGAAGUAAGAUUUCUCCAGACCUAACUUGAGAUGUUUAAAGAAAAAGUCAGAGAAAUAGACGCAUUGAAUGCCUAAAUAGCAAAACUACCCAUAAAUGAAUUGGCGUGAGGUUGAUUUAAACAUAAAACCACCAAAGUAGGUAGUUUUGAACGUGGAAGUAGCUCUUCAAUUUCUAUCGCACAAAUGGCAAGAGCGUGCGAAGAGUUUGACUUUUGACAAGCUCCAACAUAAUCAGUUAUAUUUCAAGAAAGAGAAAAGUGUUUUUGCUAAAUAGCGUAUCAAUUUUCUGGGUCACAUCAUCGAAUGUAGAAAGAUUUGAAUGGAUGAACAUAAGUUGUGAGCUAUUAAGGAGUGGAGAGCCCCCACUUCCGUGAAAGAGUUACGUUUCAUCCUUCAAUAUAUUCUAAAAUAGGGUUCACCUACUAUCCUCUAGACUCAGUACCGAGAGAAAGAAAUAGAUGGAAAAAGAAAUGGGCUUGGUAAUUUUUUUUUCUAUGUAAAUAAGAAAAAGAAAUCCAAUUUGGUAUAAGAGCCCAAAUUCAUUAGCCAGUCCAUCAAAUGAGGUCAACGACCCUAUUUAUAAGGAUUUUCCAUGCAAAAUUGCAUGUCCAUGGAAUACUAAAGCCCAACAACUCAAAGCUCUAUUUCUAAUAUGAAAUUCGAUGGCUAUAACACAUAUACUUGUCAGUUUCUCUCUCUUCUCCCAAUUCGAACAAUUCGACUUAUUCCAUCACACUAUUUUAAGUUUAUUCCAUAUGAGCUAGCAAGGGAACCUAAUGGACCUAUAUAUCAUGGACUCCAAUGAUUCAAGAUUAAUUGACUAAAUUCUUAUAGACUGAGUUAAUCAACAUUCGUUAACUAACGGGUCAUUCAUGUAUGUACUGGAACGAUUCAGAAUCACCUCGUUUGUACUAACUACAAAGCGGGCGGCAUCCACAGUUUCUCUGAAAAAAUCUGGGUUACUACAACGUCACCACGAUGUACAAUUUUCCUGAUAAGAUGGUACUUACGUUCGAUAUGUAUUCCCCGUUUACGGCUUUUAGGUUCUCUUGAAUUUGCAACUGCACCACUGUUGUGACAGUAUAAAGUGAUUGAUAGAUGCAUAUUUGGAACGACUUUCAGAUCUGUCAAGAAUUUUCUUAGCCAUAAUGCUUCUGUUGUUGCUUCAAAAGUUGCUACGUAUUCUACCUCCAUUGUGGAAUCAACUAUACAAGUUUGUUUUAUGCUUCUCCAAACUACUACUCUUCUAUUUAGAGUGAAUACUAAUCCUGAUGUAGACUUUCUAGCAUCUUUAUCAGUUUGAAAAUCAUAAUGAGUGUAUCCAGUAAGGAUCAAAUCUUUUGUACCAUACACGAAAAUGUAGUGUUUUGUUCUUCAAAUAUAUUUUAGAACAUUCUUAACGGUUGUCCAGUGAUCACAUCCAAGAUUGGACUGAUACCUACUGACCAUCCCUACUAAGUAACAAAUGUCAGAUCUAGUACACAACAUUGCAAACUUCCAACAGCGGAAGCAUAGGAAAAUUUUCUCAUAUCCUCAAUUUCUUGAGGUGUCUUAGGACAUUGUUCCUUUGACAAAUGAAUUCCGUAGAUGUAUAAUAGCAUACCCUUUUUGGAAUUCUACAUUUUAUAUCUAGACAACAUUUUGUCUAUAUAAGAUGCUUGAGACAUGGCUAGUGUUUUGUUCUUGCAGUUCUGUACAAUUUGGAUCUUAAGAACGUAUUGUGCAUUUCCCAGAACUUUCAUUUGAAAUUGCAUAGCUAGCCAUUUCUUGAUAUUAGUAUGAAAUCCUAUGUCCUUUUCCAAUAAGUAGAAUAUCAUCUACAUACAAGACUAAGAAUACUACAAUGGAAUUGACGACCUUUUUUAUAAACAUAAGGUUCGUCAACCUUUUGUAUCAAAGCCAUAAGAUUUGAUCAUAGUAUCAAAUCUUAUAUUCCAGGAUCUAGAUGUUUGUUUUAAUCCAUAAAUGGAUUUUUUAAUCUUACAAACCUUUUGUUCUUGAUCUUGAUCUAUAAACCCUCUAAUUGAGUAAUAUAGAUACUCUCUUCAAGAUUGUCAUUCAAAAAAAGUUCGUCUUGAUAGAACUAAGUCAUGCACAGCGGAAAAAGAAUCGAAUUCUACCCUAAUUGCCACAAUUAACUGUAACCAUAAACUAAUCAAAUUAGGGUUUUAAGAAAUAUUACCUUUGAAGCUUUCAAAAGGUUUGAUAUCUUCUUACCAAUUCUAACCGAGACCACCACUAGUACUCGACUGCUAUCCUCUAGACAAAGAAUCGGGUUGUGGACCCAAUUUUCGUGUAGAAAGUAAUGGAGAUAAAAUGAGAUUGAAGCUUUCUUUUUUCUUUUGUUGAGAUGAUGAAAAUGAUAAAAGAGGCAAAAGUUCUUCAACAUUUGAAAACACCACUAUUUAUAGCCUAAUUACAUGCAAAAAUGCAUGCAAUUCAUUUGCCAAAUCUCAACACUAAUGUUCCACUAACAAUUAGUGGAACUUAGUGGCUAGGUGUCUAUAUCUCAUAUAGCCACAUAUCCACUAAGAGUUAGUGGGAUUAUCAACAAAAUUGUGGGAUAUGUGGGAUAUGUUUUACAAGAGCCUUUUGUAACCAGUUUUACAGAUAUCGACCUAUUUUCUAUGAAAAUGGAAGAUAUGUUUAACCUAAGUGAGCAUGCAUUUAAUCUUUGUUAUUGAUUUUAAAGUCUAAUUUAUUUUUAUAACACUUAUAAAAACUUUUAAACUUAAUCAAUCAUUUUAUCAAUAGAUAACCUUAUAAAAACAAUCAAUUAAUAUGGAUUUUAAUUUAUUUAACUUUAAUUAAAUCAUAUUUAAUUAAAUUAAAUCAAACAAUAAUUAAUUAAUUUGUUAAAUCAAAUUUAAUCAAGAAUAACUUAAUUAAUUAAUAAUUAAUUAAUCAUAUUAAUUAAUUACCAUAUUAAUCAAUUAACAUGCAUACAAUACAAUAUAACCUUUAUAUCAUACAUUUUAAUGCAUGAACAUGUUAACCUAUGGUGGAUUUUAAAUCUAUAUGACAUUCAAAAUGCACAUACAAAUUUAAUGUAAUUUAAUCAUACAUCACAUGCAUAAAUUAAAAAAAACACCCUAAAAUGGACUGAUUUUUGCUCCUAAAUUAAGCUAAGUACUAAAUUAUUACAUAAUUACUUUGGUGUAGUACAUAACCACUCCCAAAACUUCGAACCGGCUGAAAAACCAACCGAAACCGCUUAAACCGGCCCAAAAACCAAAUUUAUUGGCUUGAACCGGCCCAGGCGCACACGGGUCGGUGAAGGCGGCGCGGCGGGCGCGCAGGCGCAUACGGGCGCGCGCGGGCACAGGCGGCGCGCACGGGCGCAGGCGGGCGCGCGGGCGCAGCGAGCGCGGCGGGCGCUGCGGGCGCAGGAGGGUUUUCGGUCUGUACCUUAUUUUCUUCUUUUUUUUCAAUUCUCUCACCCGGUUGAACCAGUUACAGCCUAACUUCAACUCUAAUGAAUUUUUUAUUUUUUUUUAAAAUUACAAACAUUUGCAGACAAUAAAAAUAAGCCAUUAAUUAGGCUAAUUACAAUAAUUAGAACAAAAACACUUAAUCUAGAGCCAAAAUCAUAAUAUAUCCAUUUUAGUUCAAACCAAAAUUUAUUCUAAUAAAUAUGAACCCACCACAUGCAAUUAGGUAAAAAUGAAGCAUGCUCUGAUACCACAUGAUAGAACUAAGUCAUGCACAGCGGAAAAAGAAUCGAAUAUUCUACCCUAAUUGCCACAAUUAACAUGUAACAUAAACUAAUCAAAUUAGGGUUUUAAGAAAUAUUACCUUUGAAGCUUUCAAAAAGGUUUGAUAUCUUCUUACCAAUUCUAACGAGACCACCACUACGUACUUGACUGCUAUCCUCUAGACAAAGAACCGGGUUGUGGGACCCAAUUUUGGUAGAAAGUAAUGGAGAUAAAAUGAGAUUGGAAGCUUUCUUUUUUCUUUUGUUGAGAUGAUGAAAAUGAUAAAAGAGGCAAAGUUCUUCAACAUUGAAAACACCACUAUUUAUAACCUAAUUACAUGAAAAAAUGCAUGCAAUUCAUUUGCAAAUCUCAACACCUAAUGUUCCACUAACAAUUGGUGGGACUUAGUGGGCUAGGUGUCUAUAUCUCAUAUAGCCACAUAUCCCACUAAGAGUUAGUGGGAUUAUCCAACAAAAUGUUGGAUUUUCCCACUAACUUAGUCCAAGGGUAAAAUGGUCAUUAGAUAUUUCUAGUCAAAACUCAAACUUUGACUUUUCUUGGUCAAAGUCAAUAUUUUGACUUUUACCAUUUUGUCCGUCUUGACUAAUUCCAACUCCCGAGCAUGAAUCCGCAUUCAUUUUACCAAAAUUCAAAUCACAUUUGAAUAUAAGGCCGGUCAAAGUUUGACUUUUUAAAGUCAAAAGUCAACAUUUGACUUUUUACUAUUUUUGACCAAUUCGAGCUUCUUAGUAUGAAUCCGCAUUCAUACUUAUUAGUAUGUAAAACAUAAAGCUCUAUUUCUAAUUAGAAGCCGACGACUAUAUCACUAUAUAUCUCGGUUUCCCUUUCUUCUCCCAAUUCGAACAAUUCGACUUAUUUCAUCACACUGUUCUAAGUUUAAUCCAUAUGAGCUAGCAGAGGAACCUAAUGGACCUAUAGAUCAUGGGCUCCAACGAUUCAAGAUUAACUAGCUAAACUUUUUAAACCGAGUUAAUCAACAUUCGUUAACUAACGGGUCAUUCCACUAAAGUCCCGUAGUUGCACUCCCUCACUAUAGAUAUAUUUGUGUCCAUUGAUAAAACCAUAAUCAGUAAGUUAAUCCUUCACAGGUUGCUCGUAACCUUGGCUGGUCAAAAUACCGUUUUACCCCCAAGAUUACAUCUUGCUCCUUAAGUCCCACUAAUCCACUAUUGAACAAUUGUGUUUAAGGUUCAACCUAUAAACUUAAUCCCUCUCGGGCCAAUGAGAGGGUGGGGCCCCUUGUUCAAGACUUGGAUUCAAUGCUUAAGAGAGCAACCUAUCUACUAACUCUAAAGCGGGUAGGAGUGAAUUCCAUCUUGUACCCUAUGUUCCCAGCUAUCCACCCGAUCUUACCCCUGAAAUGGGAGGCUUAUUGGGCCAACACUGAUGAGCUGCCCUCACCUAUGCAGAUCUAAGGAUAAUAUCGUGUGAACAGGAGUUCAUAGUUAACUCAGGAUUAAGACUAAGUUACCUAGGUCAUCAAUAAUUGAGAUAGUCAGUUUUAAACAGUAAACGGUGUUAUAACGUAAACAUGACUAAUUCAUGGUUCAGUCUUAUGUAAACAUUUUACAUAGGAUGCCCUCACUUUCAUGUCUCUACAUGAACGAUUAGGAUCACCUCGUUUGUACUACAAAGUGGGCCGCAUCCAUAGUUUCUCUAAAUAAGGCGCCCAACCUUUAUUUCAUAUAUUAUAGACUAUUUAGGCUAUAUACUCGAACUUGAUCCACGUUUAUGUUUACACAUAAAGUUCAAGUUUAUUCAAAAAAUAGCCUUGGAACUUGAUUUAUUGAAUUUAAGAUUAUAAUAUUUAAUUUCUCAAUAACAACUUUAUUGAACAGAAUAUGAUUUACAAACUACGAGUUUUAGGACAAAAAAUUCCAACAGUCUUGACAUCCAUCUGCCAAAUUUCAUAAUCAUAAAACGUGGCGAUGCAUAAGACUAUUCUAAUUGACUUUAGCAUGGCAAAGAUAGAGAAACUUUCUUCAUAGUCUAUGUUAGAAAGAGACAUGCGCAGUGGAAAAAUGGAAUACAAAAUUACCCUAAUUGCACCUAUUUAACUUGCAACCCUAAAUUAAAAGAAUUAGGUUUAGGAAAUAUUAUACCUUUGUAUCUAUUCGAAUAUGAACGUCAAUACCUCUCACAAAUUCCAAAAGUUUUUGAAACCAAAAUGUAACACCUUAAACUUAGGAUUUGGAAUUCAUAUCUCCAGCAUUCUCUGCAUCCCCUGCGACCUGUCAGCAUCAUCCUUACUAUUCUUAAAAACUUAUUAGAAUGAAAUUCCCCUUCACAAACCAACACAAAAUCUUUCAUCAUGCUUUUCCUCACUCACAUAUAUCCUAGGAAAAUUUCCAAGAGGUCACCCAACAUAGAAUUUCUUCAAGCUAAGCACGCUUAACUAUGAAGUCCUAUAAUCGAGCCACCAAAAAAAAAAAAGGUUCACAUUGUUGGUAUAGGUAAUAAGUUUCAAUUCUUUUAAGUCUUUUUAACAUGACUUUCAUGUCCUCAAGGUGCACCUUGUCGGUAUACUUGUCGAUUUCUCUCUCUUCUCUCAAUUCGAACAAUUCGACUUAUUCCAUCACAAUGUUCUAAGUUUAUUCCAUAUGAACUAGCAGAGGGAAACCUAAUGGACUUAUGUAUCAUGGGCUCCAACGAUUCAAGAUUAACUGUGGUUAAACACUUUUAGACCGAGUUAAUCAACAUUCGUAAACUAACGGGUCAUUCCACUAAAGUCCCGCAGUUGUACUCCCCUCACUAUAGAUAUAUUCUUGUCCAUUUAAUAUAACCAUGAUCAAUAAGUUAAUCCUUCACAUGUUAUUCGUAACCUCGAAUGGAUCAAAUUACUGUUUUAUCCUUGAGACUACAUCUUAUUUCUUAAGUUUCAUUGAUCCACUAUUGAACAAUUGGUUUAAGGUCCAACCUAUAAACUUAAUCCCUCUCGGGCUAAUGUGAGGGUGGGCCCCUUGUUCAAGACUUGGAUUCAGUGCUUAAGAGAACAACCUAUCUACUAACCCUAAACAGGUAGAAGUGAAUUUUGUCUUGCAUCCUAUGUUCCUAGCCAUUCAUCUGAUCUUACCCUUGAAAUAGGAGGCUUAUUGGGAGAACGUUGAUGAGAUACCCUCACCUAUGCAGAUGUAACCCUAAAACAAGUAGAAGUGAAUUCAGUCUUAUGUAAGUACUUUACAGUGCUUAAGAGAACAACCUAUCUACUAACCCUAAAACAGGUAGAAGUCAAUUCUGUCUUGCAUCCUAUGUUCCCAGCCAUUCAUCCGAUCUUACCCUUGAAAUGAGAGGCUUAUUGGGAGAACGUUGAUGAGGUACCCUCACCUAUGCAAAUGUAAGGAUAAUCUCAUGUGAACAGGAGUUCAUAGUUAGCUUAGGAUUAAGAUUAAGCUACCUAAGUCAUCAAUAAAUGAAAUAGUCAGUUCUAAACAGUAAACGGUGUUAUAACGUAAAAGUGACUAUUUCAUGGAUCAGUCUUAUGUAAGUACUUUACAUAGGAUGCCCCCACUUUCAUGUCUCUACAUGAACAAUUUAGGAUCACCUCGUUUGUACUAAUUACAAAGCGGGUCACAUCCGUAGUUUCUCUAAAUAAGGCACUAUAGACUAUUUAGGCUAUACUCUCGAACUUGAUCCACGUUUAUGUCUCGACAUAAAGUUCAAAUGUGUUAAAAAAUAGCAUUAAGACUUAGUUUAUUGGAUUUAAGAUUAUAAUUUUAAAUUUUUCAAUAACGAUUUUAUUGAACUGAAUAUGAUAACAAACUACGAGUUUUAGGACAUAAAAUCCCAACAUAUGUAUUUUUGCCUCUAAUAAUAAUGUUGAAAGAUGUUUGUUGUGGUUUCAUAUAGGUGAUAUCUCUUCUGGUUGGACAUAGUUAGGUUUUGUAAUGGGUGAUUUAACGAUAUCAAAAUGCAUUUUGAGGCUUUUGAUAGGUCUUCUAUUCCUAUGGAUAUGGAGGAGUUCGAUAUGGCUAUUUGCGAGGCUUAUUUAGUUGAACCUACAGUACAGGGUAACUGGUUCACCUGGACUAGAAAGGUUCAUGGGUUGGUUUGAUAAAAUGGUUUAAUCGUAUUCUGGUUAAUGGUGUUGGAUUACUGCAUGGCCUUCGGAUAUUUCUGAUCACUCCCCUCUUAUUUUAUCCCAACUUUUAGCAGAGACAGUGGUAGUUUCUUUUUGUUUCUUCAACCAUUGGGUUGAGGAUUCUUUGUUUAUUGAUGUUGUCUCUUUGAUUUGGAGUCGCCAUGUAGGAGUUUCUCUGAUUGUGAGUUUCGUGAGAAAUUUACAUAACCACAAGCCUACCCUCCAUAGACAGUUUGGUAAGCACAUUCAGACCUAAGUGAGGAGGUUCGUAUUGCUAAAGAGUCCAUGGAUAAAGCUCAGAGAAAGGUUGGGCAAAAUCCUAUGUCUGAUGUUUUGAGUCGCCAAGCAGGUCUUGCCAUUGAGGCCUUUUGGACGGCUGUUAGAUUGGAGGAAGCCUUCAUGUGUUAGAAGUCCAAGAGGUUUGUGAGUUGCCUUAGAACUUGUGUUACCUCCUCGAUGUUCUCCAUUAUGAUUAAUGGCUCUUUCAAGGGUUUUUUAAUGGGAGGAAAGGUUUGUGGUAGAGUGAUCCUUUAUCUCCUUUCCUUUUUAUCAUGGUGAUGGAGGUCCUCUCUCGUAUGUUGAAUCGGCCUCCUCCGAGCUAUCAGUUUCACAGGCAUUGUGAGAAGGUUAGCUUAACUCAUCUAACCUUUGCUAAUGAUCUUAUGAUUUUUUUGUGCUGCUGAUGAUUCCUCUCUGAGUUUUAUUAACGAGACUAUUAGAAAGUUUGGUGAUCUCUCGGGGCUAUUUACUAAUCUUAGUAAAAUUUCUAUGUUUGUUGUAGGGGUUAAUAGUGAUGAUGUUUAUCGUUUGACUACCAGUUUGGGUUUUGUUCUCAGGCAUCUCCCUGUUCGUUAUCUUGGGCUUCCUUUACUUUCUGGGAGGUUACGACCUACUGAUUGUGCUCUCUUAUUCAACGUAUUACUAGUCAGAUUCAUUCUUGGUUUGCUAGAGUUUUAUCAUUUGCAGGUAGAUUGCAACUGGUUUGAUAUGUGCUUGAUAAUCUUCAGGUUUACUAGGCUAACGUUUUUGCUGCCUGUGAGUGUGCAUCAUGAGGUUGAUAAAAUCUUGAGGUCUUAUCUUUGGAGGGGUAAGGAGGAAGGUAGAGGAGGUGUUAAGGUGGCGUGGGCUGAGGUGUGUUCCUUUUGAGGAGGGUGGUCUUGCUAUUCUUGAUGGGUCUUCUUAGAAUGUUGUGAGUACUAUGAAGAAUCUUUGGUUGUUGCUGACUAGUUCGAGUUUUCUAUGGGUUGCUUGGGUGGAGGCAUAUGUUCAUAAAGGAAGGUCAUUGUGGGAGGUCGAUUCUUGUGUUGGUCGGUCUUGGUGUCUUUGCGCUAUCAUGUGUAAACGAGAUAGUCUAAAAGAGCAUGUUCAGAUGGAGGUUGGGGAUGGUAGGCAUUGUAAACUGUGCCUGGAUCCGUUGUUGCAGGGUGGUCUAUCCUUCAACAAGUUGGUGAGAGAGCGCUUUAUAAUGUAACGAGUAGAUAGGAGGCUAGGCUCUCUAAGUUUAUUGGUUCGAAAGGGGAGUGGAGGUGGUCGAGGGUGUCUUUGGAUUUGAUUAAUUUAUGGGAUAGGGUUCAAGUUGUAAGUUCAUGUCCUAAUGUUGGUGAUAGGUGGGUUUGGGUUCUUGGUCGUCAUAGUGGUUUUUUGAUUGCUAGUGCAUGGGAUACUAUUCAUCCUCGUAGUGUUAAGGUUCGUUGGACAGGUUUCUUGUGGGGUGGGGAUUGAGAGUCUCGUUAUCAUUUGUUUUUUCAUGUCCUUUUGGUUGUGAUAUUUAGUCUCAGGUCCUUUAGGUUAUGGCUUCCUCUCACAGGAUUGGGUAUUGGGGGGUUGAGUUGUUUAGGGUUUGUCAUUAGUGUAUUGGUAAGGGUGUGAGAAGGAAGUUGUGGUAUGUUCUCUGGUGUGCUACGAUUUAUUUUAUGUGAAAGGAGCAUAAUCAUUGUCUCCAUGGUGGUCAAGCUCGUGAGCUCAUUGUUCUGUUUCAGCUUAUUCCAUCUUGUAUCAGUGCUCGUGUUGUUUAUUUGCAUGAGGAUGCUCAUGGUAUUAUUUAGCUUGUUUUCUUUUGAUUUUUGUUUUAUCUGCUUGUUCUCGGGUUGUGGGGUUGUUUGGACUUUUUAUGUUUUUGUUGCUCUUAAUUUUGUUGGGAUUAUUAUUGUUAGUUCACAGGAACUGCAUAAUCAAGCACAUAAACAUCCACAUUGUCAUUCAUUGUAGGCAGCUUUGAUACACAAAAAAUAUGGAUAUUUUCAGAAGUUCAAGCAUACACAAAAAACAUAUCCUUGUCAGAAAAUAGCCAACUAAGAAGAGAGAAGUUCAAGAUAUUUAUAUACAAAGUGCAGCUGCAAAAGGACAAGCAAGAUGCCAUAAUCUAUAUAUUAUGCAGUCGGAUAUUAAUUGGCAAGUACUAACAGCAAAGGUACCAAAAUAAAACCGUAUCAAUUUAUCUUGUCUAAAACUAAACAGUAUAUGUAAAUCUUGCAAACAAACAAGUUUUUUGAAUCAAAACUGCCAAAAGAUUUUGAUUCAAGUGAUAUGUGGAUUGUGAUCUUUUUGUGUCACCCAUCCAUUCCUCCUGUUUUAACCAUUUAAAUCAAUAAAUAAUUUUAUGUUCAAACAUAAGUUGGACAACCUUUGUUAAAGAACUGCUUCCCAAAACAAAUAGCAUUAACCACCCUUUUUUAAUUCAACACAUGGGAAUAAAGAUCGAAUCUCUGAUUUUUUGGUCUAAGGUACCUUUCCUAAACUUGUCGAAUUCCAUUUUCUACACCAACUUUAGAACGAGUAUAUACAUCAAGUAAUUUCAUGUUCAACUCAAAAUUGGACAACCAUAGUAUUACUCCAAAGCAAACAAUACUAACUGUUCCAUUAAAUAUUUUUUUAUAGCUCUUGAUUGUCUCACUUUUUUGUAUUUUGAAUUUACAAGCCUCUUUUUUCUUUCUUUGGUAUGAAAGGUGGCAACUAGGCCUUGCUAGAACGAGUGGGGUAACCUUUCUAUGGUAGUACACUUAGUUUCGAAGUUCGAAGUUUUCCUCCUACAGUGGAUCAUCGAUAUUGAUUCUUCUACUGUUAAUUCGACCUCCCACUAAUUCUCUUCUUCUAAGGAUUCACUUUUCUCUAAGGCUCUGCACUUUACUAAAAAGCCUUGAUCUUCUUCCCCCCAAUGUUUUCAUAAACUUCUUAAGACAGACCCUGACCUUGGUUAGGCUCGGAUCUCCUUGGAUUAUCACCUUCUUCCCCUGAUAUGUAAAUGUUAACAUCAUAUUCUUCCAAUCCACUCAGUCGUUCCCAAGGAAUACAAUCACUGCAUUCCAAGUAUGGCAACUACCCCUCCCAACUUCAAGGGUAAAAACUCAUUCACUACCUUCUAGUCUCCCAGCAUUAACUCAACAUCUUCACAAAUUACCUUCCCUUUGACUACAGUGCCCGAGCCCAAAAUGACUCCAUAAUUCGACGUUUCUCUUGUACUCAGUUGCAACUCUUUCACUAUUUUUUUAAAUGAAAUUGCGUGUGACUCACAAUCAAUUAGUACUAUAGCCACUUCCCUUGUAUCAUCUCUUUUACCUUCAUUUUCCCUAGGUUGGAUAAUCCCACCACAUAAUUAAUGGAUAAUUCCACCAUCACUUGACUCUCCUCUACGAUCUCAGGGGCAUUCAAUUCUUUCUGAUCAAUUCCUCUUCUUCAUAAUUUCAUACUCCUCGCCUUCUUCCUUGACAACAAUCAUUCGCAAUUCCCUUUGCUCUUUCAUCUUGCAUUUGUGGUCAUGAGAAUAUUUCUCAUUACACGAAAGCACAAUCCCUUCUUUCUAGAUUGAAAUUCAGCAUCAAAUAAGCGCUUCGUCUGUCCCUUUUCCGUACUUCCUCUUUUGUUGUUCCUCGUAGAGUAAUAGUUCUCAUCGGCCAAUUCAUUCCUCCUUUACUUUCUUCUGUAUUCGCAAUGGUAUUAGCCUUGGUGCUAUUAUGGGAGUUUAUCACCUUUUCUCCAGAAUAUCCAGAAAGAUUUGCUUCCUGACGUAUAUCUUCCUUGUUCUCUACCUUUUGCGCGAUUCGUAUCAUUUGUGCUAAUCCCUUCGACUCACAUAAAUCCAUCUCCGCUAGAUCCAUAGUUUCAAUCCGACAUAAAUGUCUCUUUUACCACCUUCUCUAAUAGGUCCGACAAAGGAGCUACCCACUUAUCGAAUAAAUUUUGAUAUUCCUCUAUCGUUUCUUUUGUUGAAUUUGCAAGAACCUUACAUACAACGAUUCCUCCCUAACGGAUCGAAAUCGCACAAUAAUCUUUCCUUCAUAUUCACCCAAUCUACAAAGUUCUCUCGUUCUUCUUGAGAACGGUAAAAGUUCAAUGCUAGUCCCUUAAAACUAAUAGUGGAUACAGUCAUUUUCUCAAAUUCAGUAAGUUUAUGAAUGUGCAAAUACCUCUCUACGCGAAACAGCCAAGAAUCAGGAUCAUCUCCAUUGAAUAUCGACAUCUCCACCUUAUUAAACUUAUUGCAGUAACUAUUACUUUCAUCAUAUAUUUUCUUUCCUUCCUUCCUUGUUUCGUUCUCCCAUCUUGGUCACCCUUCGCCUUCGUCCACAUUCUUCGUCGAUGAAUUGUGCAUUGUUGUCGAUUCCAUAAUUCGUAACAUCAUCUGAUUCUACCUCUCCAUAUUUUUGGAUAUUUUGGCCAACGUCUUUUCGAUCACCAGUAUCUUACUAAUCUCUUUCUUAAUGUCCUGUAUUUCCUGGUCAAACGUCUCCAUCUCUUCGAUCCGAGUCUGAACCAUUUGCAUUCUUCUUGCCCAAGAUCAAUGCUCUAAUACCAAUUUGAUGGAAACCAGUCUUGGAAUAAAAUUGCUACUAUAUUAUUAAUGAUAGAAUAGGAAUGAAAUCCUAAUUACAAUAUGAAAUCCCUCUCCUGUUAUCCUCUCUCUCAAGGAAGAAUAGAAAUUCACUUUCUCAAACAAAACCUAACUUUCCCGCCCACGAUUACUUUUUAUUUAUACUAACAAUAAGGUAACUAACCCUUCCCUUUACUAACCCUCACAUGCUAUUCAUGUGCACGUGAUAUUUUUUUUAAUUUCUUUAUCCCUCUUCUGCUGUACAGAUGUAAUAUAGGGGGUCUAUCAGAUUCCUCCUCUUUUCAAAGCCUCCAAUCAAACUCAAUGCUAAGUUUGACUGCUCCCUUCAGAGUGACGACCCUCAUUUUCCCCCUUCCGUGGUUUGGAGGAUUCCUCCUCUUUUUAAAGCCCUCAAUCAAACUUGAUGCUAUGUUUAGAACGCUAAGAAUAGGUGGUUUAGUUUUGGUUAGGCCAAAAGUGAAAUUUUCCCACAAGCACUAAUAGUUAGGGAACUCAACACAUUCUACUUGACUUAAUCGACUUGACUCUCUAAUUUUUAUGAGCUUUUUUCAAUGCAUAUUGCAUAUGUUUUUUUUAUAGUUGUUGAUUGUCUCACAUUUUUAUGGUUUGCAUUUACAAGCCCCUUUUUUCUUUCUUUGGUAUGAAAUAUGGUAAUAGGCCUUGCUAGAACCGGUGGGUAAUCUCUCUAUGGUUCUACACUUAGUUUCAAAGUUUGAUUACUCCCUUCGAAGUGACAACAAGCCUCGUUUUCCCCUAUUGUGGAUCAGAGAGGAUUCCUCCUCUUUUCAAAGCCCACAAUCAAACUCAAUUAGAGUAAAAAGGAAAAAUUUUCAUCUCGGGCGCGUGUACCUCACACGCAUCUCUCUAGGAUUUCCAAGUUCUCUCACUGGGCUGGUGAAGGAGGCGAACGGUUGGUGAGUGCUGCGGCCAGCAAGGGAUCAAAUUCGAAGGUAAUUCGUUCAAUUUUGGCAGAUUGAAUGUGAAAACUAAUGUCAUUUGGUAUCCAUUUCGAAAUUGAUUACAAUUGAUCAAUUGAACCAUUACGAAUGAUAUUCGUUUUGAUUCGGGAGAAUUAACGUCUGUCCAGAAAUUGUUUAAAUCGGUUUCCAAGCUGAAUUGAUUUGAACUAUCUUGAAAGUAUUGCGUGUGGUACAAAAUCGAUUUAUUGGCUAUCAGUUCUGGGUUUGGAGACCGUGAUUUAAUUCACUCGCUGGAGGGAUCUUGCAUGAAUCUCCUCGGUUGAAUUUCAAUUCUUUUUUAUUCAUGUUCCCAAAUUGGACCGAAAAGAUCAUCACGGGUGUUGGGUUGAUGUCCUAAGCAUGAAACAAUGAAGAAAUUAUCCAGUGACAUUGAGGAGGUGAAGAAACGCGUGAUGUCAAGCCUUCAACGCGUACAUGAUAUGGCGGCGAACGACCGAAGGGCGGCGACUGUAAAGGCUGACCUAAUUUCUGCGAGGAAGAAACGGUCGGACAUGAGUGGACCCGAACCGGUUUACGUGAACUGUGAUACAUCUAAAAACCGAAAUACAGGAAAUGGAUCGAGCGGAAAUGGUCCCAUGAAGAUUGUUGGCCCAAAGGCGUGUGGGCCGAUUGUUUUGAAUGAAAACUCGAUGAAGUCCAAUGAGCCGGUAAAGGGGCUGAAGCCGAAUGGUGGACACAUUUACGAAUGGAAUUCGUCAUGGAUCUCUGGUUGAUGGGCCAUCGUUGAAUGAUGGGCCGUCCAUCUCACACGAAACUGGGAUCUCACAGAAGGAGUGCUUACCUGUUGGUGCUUCAAGUGUUCAGCAUGUUGGGCAAAUUGCAGCGGCCAAAGGAUAUGCACCUGGGCUGGAUGCUAUUGCAAGUGCCCCAAAGAUUGGGCCGGUUGAUGGGCAUUUGAAUGAUGGGCCAGCCAUUAGAGAACCGUUUGGUACUAAUUCAAAUGGUGGGCCGCCUGUUCCGAUUCGUGGGCAUGAGGUGCAUAAAUCUAAUAAUUCUAGAGGUGCAGGCAAAAAUUCAUGGGCUUCCUUAUUUGGCUCAACAAGAGGUUUCUCUUUGACUUAUACACCUCUAACUACCGUGGGAGAGAAAAUUGUGGUGACCCCGUUUGAAGGAGAUAAAUGGCCUUUAUCUAUAGUGGAUGGCUCCCCUCCUCCCUUACGAGUAGAUGACUCUUCUAUGGUCCUUUUGAGUACUACAGGUGAUGUCAUUCCUAUGGGAGAGGCAGCUCCCAUACAACCUCAUGGUUAGUUGGUGUACGUGGAACGUGCGGGGCCUUAAUAGCCCUGUAAAGUGUAGAGCGGUGAAGGACUUCUUAGCCGUGUCUACGGUGGGUUUCUGUUGCAUCCUAGAGACUAGAGUUCGAAGAGGAGAACUUUGUCUCGAUAUCUAGAAGAUUUGUGUGAUUCGUGGGGGUUCAUUAGUAACAACAGCAAUAGUGGAGUAGGUCGGAUGUGGAUUAUGUGGAAACGUAACAGAUUCGUGUUCACGACUAACGAGGUUGUCGACCAGUUUAUUUCUGGUGUAAUAACAGAUUUGAUCUCUGGGGAGAAGUAGAGGUUCUGUGUGUGUAUGCCUUUAAUAGUAAUAUCAAGAGACGUGUUUUAUGGAGGCGAAUGGCUGACGAUCUCUGCUGGUUGGAGAGGACCGGGUAUGGUCUUGGGUGAUUUUAACACCAUCAGACUCCACUCUGAAGCCUUCGGGGGUGCUUCGAACGUGGGGGAUAUGGAGGAGUUUGACAUGGCUAUUCGAGAGGCGGACCUUGUUGAACCCGCGGUCCAGGGGAACUGGUUUACUUGGACUAGUAAGAUACAUGGGUCGGGUUUGAUGAAUAGACUUGAUCGUAUCCUAGUGAAUGAUGAGGGGCUUAGUACAUGGUCGAACAUGAGGGUUAACGUCCUCCCGUGGGGUAUUUCUGAUCAUUCUCCUAUACUUGUCUAUCCCAGUAAUCAGCGAAGCCAACAAGUGGUCUCUUUUCGUUUCUUUAACCAUUGGGUUGAAGAAGCGUCCUUUAUGGAUGUUGUGUCCUCUGCUUGGACCAAAGAUACUAGAGUUUCUCCAACUGUGAAUAUUGUGAGGAACUAAAGAAAUCUCAAGUCGAUUCUUCGCAGACAUUUUGGUAGGCAUAUCCAGACCAUCAGUGAGGAUGUUCGUCUUGCCAAUGAUACCAUGGACCGAGCUCAAGAGAGAUGGAGACGAACUCUUUGUCGGAGGAGGCGAGUAAUCACGCGAGCUUAGCCACGGUAAACUUUUGGACAGCUGUUAGAAUGGAGGAAGCCGCUAUGUGCCAGAAGUUGCAAAUCAGAUGGUUGAAGCUAGAUGACCAAAAUACUGCCUUUUUUCAUCGAUCUGUUCGAUCAAGGCAGAGCAGCAAUGCUUUGAGAUCAGUUAUUGACCAAGAUGGAAAUCGGUUGACUAACCAUGAUCAGGUGACUCAGGUGGUAGUGAAUUAUUUCAAAGAUAGUCUGGGUUCUCAGAAUAUUAGCUACAAGAGCUCUCUACUAGUAUUGAGGAGAUUGUUCAGUUUAGAUGGACUGAGGAGUGUUGCCAGACCCUCCAGUCGCCUAUUGGCAGGGAGGAAGUGAGACGUGUUCUGUUCUCCAUGGAUGGUGGAAAGGCUCCAGGCCCUGAUGGGUAUUCAGUUGCUUCUUCAAAGGAGCUUGGACGGUGGUUGGAGAGGGUUUCUAUGAUGUCGUCUUACACUUCUUUGAGACCAAUUACUUCCCUCAAGGGGUGAAUACGAUUGCUAUUACACUUAUUCCUAAAAGGAAUGGUGCUGAUCGAUUGGAGGAUUUCAGCCCUAUAUCUUGUUGCAGCGUUAUUUAUAAGUGCAUUUCAAGAAUAUUGGCAGAUAGGCUUCGUGUGUGGCUUCCUUCUUUUGUUAGUGGAAAUCAGCCAGCUUUCAUCCCUGGGAGGAGUAUUAUUGACAAUAUUCUUCUUUGUCAGGAGCUUGUAGGGGCAUACCAUUUGCACAGAGGUAAACCUCGGUGCACUAUGAAGGUUGACCUCCAAAAAGCUUAUGAUUCUGUUAAUUGGGAUUUCCUCUUUGGCCUGCUGAUUGCCAUAGGUACGCCUUUAAGAUUGAGUUGGGUUCGAGCGUGUGUGACCUCUCCGAUGUUCUCCAUUAUGAUUAAUGGAUCGUUGGAAGGUUUUUUCCAUGGGAGGAAAGGACUUAGACAAGGUGACCCUUUAUCCCCGUUCUUAUUUGUGAUGGUCAUGGAGGUGCUUUCUCGCAUGUUGAACAGCCCACCUCAGAAUUUUCAAUUCCACCAGUUUUGUGAGAAGGUCAGAUUAACUCAUCUUACUUUGUAGAUGACCUAAUGAUCUUUUGUACUGCUGAUAAUCAUUCUAUGAGUUUCAUAAAAGAGACUAUUAAGAGGUUUGGUGAGCUUUCGGGAUGUUUGCUAAUCUUGCCUAAAAGCUCAAUUUUUCUUGUGGGGGUUAAUAGUUCGAAAGAUUCUCGGCUUGCUGCUAACAUGGGUUUUUCCAUUGGUCAUCUCCCUAUUCGUUAUCUUGGGCUUCCUCUCCUCUCUGGAAGAUUGCGGAGCUCUGAUUGUGAUCCCCUUAUUCAGCGUAUUACCAUUCGUAUUCGGUCUUGGUCUGCUAGUGUUAUCUUUUGCAGGUAGACUUCAGCUUGUUCGCUCAGUCCUUAGGAGCCUUCAGGUUUAUUGGGCUAGUGUGUUCAUGCUUCCUAUGAAAGUCCACAGAGACGUUGAUAAGAUCUUGAGGGCUUAUCUGUGGAGAGGUAAGGAGGAGGGAAGAAGUGGUGCUAAAGUUGCCUGGGAUGAGGUUUGUCUUCCUUUUGAUGAAGGAGGUCUUGAUAUUCGCGAUGGAUCUUCUUGGAAUAUAGCAAGCACGUUGAAGAUAUUAUGGUUGCUACUUGUUAAAUCUGGUAGUUUGUGGGUUUCUUGGGUGGAAUCUUAUAUCCUUAAAGGGAGAUCGCUGUGGGAGAUCGAUGCUGGGGUGGGUCGAUCUUGCGAAAGCAGGAUAUCCUUAAAGCUCAUGUUUAGAUGGAGGUGGGAAAUGGAAGGAAGUGUAGAGUGUGGUUGGUUCCAUGGAUUCAAGGUGGGCCGAUUAUCCAGCAGUUUGGGGAGAGGGUGAUCUAUGAUGCGGGUAGUCGGUGGGAUGUGAGGCUGGUGGAUUUCAUGGGUCGGGAUGGUGAUUGGAGGUGGCCGCUUGUUUCUUUGGAUUUGAUGGACAUUUGGGAUAGGGUUCAGGGAGUGAGGCCGAGUCCGAGUGUUGAGGAUAGGUGGGUCUGGGUGCCCGGGAGUCGUGAUAGUUUUUUGAUCACUAGUGCGUGGGAGACUAUUCGUCCUCAUAGUAGUAGGGUUGGAUGGUCGGGUUUACUAUGGGGUGGGGGAAAUAUUCCUAAGCACUCCUUCUGUGCUUGGUUGGCCAUCAGGGAUAGGUUGAGUACUAGAGAUAGGUUCAGUCGAUGGGAUAGGUCGAUUCCUUUAUCGUGUUUGCUUUGUGGAGGGAACUAUGAGUCUCGUGAUCAUUUGUUUUUUUCUUGUCAUUUUGGGUGGAAGAUUUGGUCGAGGAUCCUUUUGCUUAUGUCAUCUUCUCAUAGAAUCGGUUAUUGGGGGUUGAGUUAUCUUGGAUUUAUAAUCAGGGUAUUGGGAAGAGUGUGAGGAGAAAACUGUGGCGCCUUCUCUGGUGUGCUACAAUUUAUUUCAUUUGGCAGGAGCGAAAUCAUCGUCUUCAUGGAGGUGCUGUUCGGGAGCCUAUGGUUGUAUUCCAGCUCAUUCGGUCGUGUAUUAAAGCGUGUGCUGCUUCUUGGUCGGAUGGUGUUCAUGGUCUUAUUUAAUGUUCUUUUCGUUUGCUUGUCCUCGGGCUGUGGGGUUUCUCUUCUCUUUAUUAACUUUGUUGUCUUUCUCUUUUUUUCUUGUCCUUUUAAUGUUUGGAACACUAGUUGGUUUCUUUUGGUUUUAGUUCUUGUUCCCGAGAUGUGGGGUUGUUUUGGGUACUUAUGGGUUGUUUUGUCUAACUACUUGUUUUGUGAGUGUUGUUCGCUCUUUUGUCUUGACCUCAGGCUGUGAGGUCCACCUUGUUGUUGUAUAAUAUUAUCAUUACCUUUUCAAAAAAAAAUCAAACUCAAUGCUAAGUUUGACUGCUCCCUUCGAAGUGACAACAAGCCUCGUUUUCGCCCUACUGUGGAUCGAGGAGGAUUCCUCCUCUUUUCAAAGCCCUCAAUCAAACUUGACGUUAUGUUUAAAACACUAAAAAUAGAUGGUCUAGUUUUGGUUAGGCCAAAAGCGAUGUUUUCCCCCAAAAUCUCUAAUAGCUAGGGAACUCAACAUGUUCUACUUGACCUAAUUGACUUGACUCUGUAUUUUUUAUGAGCUUUUUUUAAUGCAUAUUGCAUAUGUUUUUUUUUUAUAAUUGUUGAUUGUCUCACUUUUUUAUGGUCUGCAUUUACGAGCCUCUUUUCUUUCUUUGUUAUGAACUGCGGUAACUAGGCAUUGCUAGAACCGAUGGGGUAACAUUUCUAUGGUUCUACACUUAGUUUCUAAGUGUGAUUGCUCACCUCUAAUUUUCAAAACACUUAAUUUCUAAGCACAUACAAUGUUCACCUAGAAAAAAAUGAAAAUUGUUGUAGUUAAGAUCAAAACUAAAUAGUUAUGAAAUAAGACAUAAGAGAUUUGAUUUUAACAACCUUCCCGUUGUACUUGGGAUCCACUCUGGCUUUGUGCUGGAAAAUUGGUUUGGAGCUGAUCGUAAGCUUUCGGUUGCUCUUCUGUAACCUUUAGAUACUCUUCAAAGCUAUAAGCUUUGCUUCCUGACGAAUAAUCUUCUACUAUUACAAUACAUAAGAAAAUUCUAUUUCAUAAACCCUGUAUCAUAAUUGAGGCUGAUAGAAUGAUUAUUCUAUAACCCUACCAUAGUUUCAUUCUUAACAUUCAUAGACACGAUGCAUGGCAGCUAUCCAAUUCUAUUUCAUGUUCUCGAGAAUGGCUCGGUUUAACAAUAAUGUUAAUUUUUGUUUUCUAUUUUAAAAUAAUAACGCUGCUUACUAAUAACUAAAUGUUUUAAGCCAUUUACAAAUUAGAUUUCAAUAAAUCGAUAAUCAUAUUUUUUUACAAUAUAGGACUAAAAAAGAUAACUAAUUUAUAUAUAUAUAUAUAUAUAUAUAUACAUACAACAGUAUUUAGUUAAAUUACAAAAAAAAAUUCUUUUGAAUUUUGUAGUUUGUGUAAAAAAAUAACCUUAAACUUUGAAAUGUUAAAAAAAAUUGUUUUGAACUUUUAAAAAUUAUUCAUAAAUACAUCUAUAUACGUAGGAUGAAGGUAUUGGCAUGCUUCUCUAAAAAAACUUUCCAAAAAGAUGUUGUGUGACUUUUGAAAAGAAAAAUUACAAAUGGGGUCGUUUUUAAACAAAUUAGAUAUAUCGAGUUAUAUUUAUUUAAUUUUUUUCCUUUUUUCACAUAUUAUCAAUCACAUCUUACUUUUUUCUUUUUUCUUUGGAACCCUGCAAAAAUAACAAAAACAUUUAUAAUCACAUGACUCAUGUCACUACAUUUUCUAAAUUUUAAAAGUAGUAAAUUUAAAAGUUGAUAACCCUAUGAUUAUCGUUUGAUAGUCAUCUAAUAUCACUAAUUUUGUCAUAUUCGUAAUAUCCAAAUAAGGUUUCUUGGUGAGUCUAGAGUCAAACGUGAGGACUUAUACUAAAAAUAUAUUUAUAUUUUGAAAUUAUCUUAAGGUGAUUAAUAACAUACGCCUAAGAACAAUAGCGGUAUCAUCCACUUGUAAGGGGGGAGGGGAGUCAUCCACUAUAGAUAAGGUCCACUUGUCUCCCUCACCCAACUUCAUAAGGCUGCCAAAAGAGUUAGGCAUAAUCACAUCCACACGUUUACCCUUCUCUCGAACAUAAACCAACUCUCUUUUCUUCCUAAUAACGAGUAAUUUCAUCUCGAUUACCUACCUCCUUUUCCUUAAUAUGCCUAAUGGGGGAGCUAUUAGUCUUACUUUCCUCCAACUAUUUAAAGUCUAACACCACAUCCACAAGACACAAUUGUCCAUUCCUCCUCUUUGUUUGAAACCACCUUGCUCACAUCCUUCUCUCGAUGAACUUUGUUUUCCACAAUCUUAGGACACUUACCACUAGAAUGCCCAAAAGACCGGCACAAAUUACACCUUCGAGGCUUCCACUCAUAAUUCACAGUCAUAACGAAAUCCUCUCCCUAAGGUGAAUUGUAAAUUCAGCAAGCAUAGGAGAGUCCACAUUUGAUUCAACACAUACUCAAGCAUGUGACAACCUUCGUCUUUCCUUAGUAGCUAGAUCUAAAGAUAGAGGUUUUCCUAUAGCACUAGCCACAACAGUCAAUCUGACAUCUAUCCAUAACUCCAUUGGAAUCCUACCUAGUUUAAUCCAUAUAGGAACAUAAUAAAAAACAAAGGAUUUAGGGACAAUACCUGGAGUCCAUUUACAGAGGAGCAUACUUUUGCCAGCAAGAUGUCGCGAUCAACGAGGUAGGAUCCAUUCAACAAGUUUUGGGCAUCUGAAUUGGAAACAUAUGAGUCCGUUCUCAAGAAUUGUAAUCGUUGGCAUUUUAAUUUUAUCAACAAUAACAACGAGCUAAACAAAAUCCUCUAUCCAGGACGCACUAAUGAAAACUAAAAUGUAAAAUAAGUACGAAGUAAUUAAUUAAAACAGAAGACAAAAGAAACCCAAAGUAAGUUGACAAAAUGCCCACAAUAAGCUUCAAGAUGAGUGAGAGGGAACACCAAGAGAAACAUGAAUAGCCUUGCUAACUUUUCACUACUAGCUAACUACAUAUAUUUUUACAAUACGUGUUAGGGAAAUCUUUCCCUUUGCAAAACAGACCAAUAUAUAAUCAAUCAUUGGCUCCUUAUGGGAAAAUACAGAAGCCCUAUACAUGUCUGUUUCAAGCUUGUGUUGAACAACUUUUAAUUCCCUAAGAUAAGGAGAUUUAUCUGAAGGUUCGAGAAUAAUGGCAUGUCCUAAACUAACCCACCAUUUCGCAACAGUGAACCAGUUUGAUCGUUAGGGGACAACUUUUGAUAAUAAGCGCACAACCAUGCCCCAAUUCCAAUGUUGCCCAAAAGUAAAGGCCUUUCUUCACAAUGCUCCAUAAAAAAAAAGUUUGACUUUCACAUAAAGAUCUUAUUUCUUUUUUAUUGCUCCAAGAGAUCUAAUAGAUCUAUUUUCACCACGCAAAUCCCUUUUGUUAUCAUGGAAAAUGUGUUGGUUGUGCUCAAACCAAAUCUCUGCUUGCAACACUUUUAUCAAAUUAACCCAUGUUUUUUUUUAAAAAAAAAGAGGAUAUGAGUCUCACUAUUAUUAAUAUUGAAAAAUGAAGAGACAAAGCUCAAUGUCAUGAGGAUUAUACAAAGAGCAAUAGGAUGGAGGAUCAAUAGACGCACCUGGACAUCUCAACUAGGUUGACACCCCCUUAGCACCCUCAUCACAUCCAAAAAGCGACAACACAAGAUCAAAACCAAAAGCCACAAAUAGAAGGCUUUUUUUGUGUUUGUUUUGCCUUUGGACAUUACUCCUUUGUUAUGGGUUUUAGCUUGGUUGGAUAUGAUGAGGGUGCUAUGGGGGUCAACCUAGUUGAGAUGCCAAGGUGCACCCCUGAUCCAUGGUUACAUGUUCAUUGUAUAACUCUCUUGUACUAUGAGCUUUUGUCUAAUUAUUAUUAUUAUUUUAAUAUUAAUAAAGAGGUUGUCUCCUUUUCAAAAAAAAAAAAAAACAAAAAACAAAACAAAACAAAAGCCACAAAUAUAAAACCAAGCAAAACGAUAAAAUAAUAUGUCCAAAACAAAAUCAUAAAUCAUAGGUAGCAGGUCGAGAACAAAGAAGAAUAAGCCUUGAUUGAGCAAAAAAUCCCAACAAAUAUUGAAUGUUUGGAGAAGACGGAACCAACAUUUCGAUACAAAGACAUAGUCAAUUCAAAGGUGCUAAAUAUUUUUCAUGUUAUCAACACAAAUGGGGCAGACAUGAGGUGAGAGGACAUGGGAGGGAAGUUUUCUUUGAAGUACUAAAGCACAGUUUAAUUUUCCAAACAACGUAAUCCAUAUGGGGAUAUUUAUCCAAAGAGUGAGCUAAAUAGCCCAAUGAGUGAUUGUUUUAUAAAACAUCGUUUUGAAAUAAUAAGUAUUUAACAAUUAACUCUUAACAUAAAUGAAAUCAAACUCAAACAACUUAUCUCAAACUUUCCCUUUCAGUUGCUAUACCUAGAAUCGUCGAGACGAAAAACAAUAAACUAGGCAUAGAAGCCCUAUCCCGUGAUACGAUACUUACGAGAUGAAACUCUAGGCAUCAAUUGUGCCCUAUCUCGUUAUAACUACAAUGAGAUGGAAAACUAGGCAUUCGUACAGGCUCUCAUCCCUUGAGAUGGGAAACUAAGCAUCUUUAGAAGUCUUCAUCUCUUAUCUAAUACCAAUGAUGGAAAGCUAGGUAUUUACUGAAUAUCCAAAUCAAAUGACCUCUAUGCACAAGAAAAUAUUUCCCGAAGGGUUGCUAUAUAUCUUAGAAUAUUUUAGGUAUAGACUAAAACAUGCUAAUAUUAUUUUCAAGCUUAAACAUUUUGAAAACUUAGCACAAUCAUGAUUGCUUAUAAUUUUCAUUAGUAAAUUCAUCAAUAAAAACAUGUUUACCAAAAUGUUUCUAAAUUCAUGCUUUGGAAAUACUUUAUAAGUCAGUAUUCUCAAAUAUUCAAACAUCAAAGCAUGCUUGAAACAUUUGAUAGUAAAUUCAUGUUUAGAAAUCAACUUUAAACUCAUUUUUGUCAUUUAUAGAGAGUAGCUUGGACCCUUGGCUUAUAAACUUGUUCGAUCUCCUUCAGAUCUAAAAUAAUGGGAAAUAAUUCCAUUUAAUUCCCGUUGAUCAUAAAAAUAUCAAAACUUUGCUUAAAAUUUCCAAAAACCAAAAAAGCCCAAAGACAUUAGCUUGCGUACAAAAUAUUGUGGCAGAAGUUGGCAGGUGCGCGUAGGGCUUGCCUUGCCAUGUCUCGUUCUAACCUCAUGUGCAGCCUGUCACAAUCAUAACUUUUCAAACACGAAACAGACUAUUGUACGACACUUGUUGUAACUCGAUGAACACGUCAGUUGUAUGAAAUUCGAUACGAUGUAGCCUCCCUAUAGGUUUUAAGAGAAAUUGGUUUUAUUAAACAUGAGAGAGAAAGGAAAGCAUUGGAAACAUCGUUAAAAAAAACUUUGAAGACUGUCCAUUGCAAAGAGAGCUUAAAUUGCAAAGAGUACCAUUAGUGUCGUUUUUAAGAAAAUUGUUUUCUUCUAGAUAUUAUAACUCUCUUUCCUUCUAGGAAUAGAAAAUGAAGUAGAAGAGAAUCAUGAGAUUCUAUUAAUUUAUAAAUAAUUAAAUUAAUAUAUAUUUCAAAUCUACUGAUUAAUUAAACAUUAAUCAAUUAGUUAAUAAUUAAUGAAAUCGAAUUUAAUUAAAUAAUAUUAAACUAAACUAUUAAUUAAUUCUCCAAUUAACUAAUAACACUAAAUUAUUUAUCUUAUAUUUAACUUAAAUUAAAUUUGAAUCAUAUUCAAAUAUAAGUUUCUCUCAAUAAUUUUAAUAUGAAUCCAAUUCACAUUAAAUUAAUAUUUGAACUCAUUCAAAUAUUUUAUCUCUCAUAAAUUAAUUUUGAAUCAUCCCCAAAGUUAAAUUUAUAUAGUAAAGUUUGAUAAACUUUAUAUUAUAAUGUAUCACUAUACAUUAUACUAAUUCCCAAGUUAAAUUUAAACAUUUUAAAUUACAACCAAUACAAAUAAAUCUCAUUACCCUUUACGAGCUAGGAAAGGGACCUAAUGGACCUACAGAUCAGAAGCUACAACGAUCUAAGAUUAAUUGGCUAAACUCAUUAAUCAAUAUUUGUUAGCUUUGUGUACACUCCACUAAAGACUCACAACUGAACUCUUCUCACUAAAAAUAUAUUUAUGUGUCCACGGAUAUAGACCAAUAAUAGUAAGUUAGUCCUUCACGAGUGUUUGUAACACCAGUUGGACCAAUUUACCGCUUUACCCCUAUGUUACCUCUAAUCCUUAAAAACCAGUGCUCCUCUAAUGAACAACUUGUUUAUGGUCCUACUAAUAAACAAAAACCCAUCUCAUGUCAUAGAGAGGGUACGAGCCCUUUGUUCAAGUUUUGGAGACACCAUUUAAGCUAACAUUCAUCUACUUACCCUAAAGUAGGAAAUGAGUGAAUUCCAUUUUGUGCAAUUAUAAUCCCAACUCCCCACUCAGUCUUGUCCCCAAAAUCACUACUACAAAAACAGGCUCUCUUGACGGUUGUAGUUUUCCUUUCUUGACGUUUUUUCCCAAAAACGUCAAGAAAGAUGUGAUUUCAAAUAAAAAAACGUCAAGAAUUUUUAUGAAAGGCCAAUUUUCAACUUUCUUGACGUUUAUUAAACGUCAAGUAAGAUGUACUUUUUCUUGACGUUUUUUAAACAAAUAUCUAAUUUUUUAAAAACGUCAAUAAUAUUUAUUUUUUGAUUUUUAAAAACGUCAAGAAAUUUCCAAAAAAAUUAUUGUGUUAAUAUUCUUUUACAAAACGCAACGUUUCAAUUAGAUCACUUCCCCUUUUCUUAAUUAAACCUAAUUCGCCGCGACUUUGUCCCUUCUCCACCCGAAAUCAAAAGCGUCGUUCACCUAACCUUCCCUUCGCGUUCAUCUGUGCAUUCAUCUGCGUUCAUCGCCGAAAAAGACUUCCCUUCGCGUUCAUCAGCGUUCACCUUCAUUCAUUUGCCUUUAUCGUCCGUCACCGUUCGUCUGCUUUGCGUUCCCUUCACUUUCGUUGAUUUGCGUCCGUCUGUUCACCGUUUGAAAUGUGUAAACACAUUCUCUAUUCGAAAACGAGUAAACACGUUCACCGUCCUUCUGUCGCAUUCCACUUUCGCUAAACCUCUAUUCGUUUCCAAAUCCUUCAUGGUUACUCAUUCAUUUUCUUCCCUUUCUAAAGGUAAUAAUUUUCCUUUUUUCCUUUGUGAUUAAAAUUUGUAAUUUGGAAUUUAAAAUUGGAAUGCAAAAUUAAAGAAGAGGAAAUAUGCCUUAGAGAAUGGAAGAAAGGUUUUGCAUUUUAGGCUUGAAAAGGGGGAUACAAGUUAUUAUAAUUGUAAUAUAUAAUAUUUUGAACAAGGCUACCAAGCGUGCGAAUAUGAUUCAUUGGUUAGUUUAGGGAUUGGAAAGAGAAGGAUUGUGGAGUUUGUGAUAAUAUUUUGGUACACUGGAGCUGGAAACAGAGAAUAUUAAAAAACACAUACUGUUAUACACAAUAUUAUAAUAAUACGAAUCACUAGAUUUUCUUCUUCGUUUUCUUUUUCUUCUCCUUGAAUUUUUGUUAUGGGUAUUGUAUUGAGUUUUGUGUUUUAGAUUGUGAAGUAUGGGGUAGCUAAACUCUUAAUCCUAGGGAUAGAUGUAGACAAAGUUUAUGAAUUAUUCUUUGUAAUGCAUCUGAUUAUUUGCUCUUAAUCUUUUCAUGUUUUUAUGUGAAUAAUGUUCAUAAUAUCUUAAUCAGAUUAAUUGUUGAUUGGCCAUGAACCUUAAUCUUUGCAUGACUAGAGUGGUUAUGAACUUGGAAAGAGCUAAUUAAGGAUCCUUGAGGAGGUUGUUGAAAGAAGUGGACCUAAAAACUUUUGUUUGUUAAUAAAAAGAAAAAUGAACAGAGAUUCAUCUUCGUGAGGGGUCUUGAUGUUUAAUUUAAUUUAAAUUGUGUAUGAAUUUUUAAUUACGAGCAUUUAAUAUGUUGCGUUUUAAUCCUAGGGAUAGAUGUAGACAAAGAGCACUAUAGCCAAGGUAUAGAGUGAGGGAUAAGGUUUAUAUGUCUUAGAGAAUGGAAAGAUGGAAUUUGUGCUAAAUCAUUAGUGUUCCAAAUACAAUUAUGAAUUGGGUAUAGUUGCAUUCCCCCUUCUGGAUUGCAUAGCACAUAAAUAUACUCUCAUGGAUUGCAUAGCACAUAAAUAUACUAUCAAAAACAAUAACAUAAAACACAAACUUGAUUUAGUUUCAUUCACACUUGUACACCAACAUGUUUCAAUUAAUGAUCAUAUAUUAAAAAUCAUUUUCAAAUUUGGUAAUAUAAAAUGGAAGAAGUGAGACCUUGAGGUUUUAACCACCAAUACUAUCUAACUGAUGAGUUUAUGAUUUUUGUUUCUAUUGUGUUUUUUCCUUAAGCUUUAACUUGCUUUAGGGGCAAGAUGGUGAAGGUCUAGUCCACAACCUUUCCCAAGAAUUUAAUGAUGUUUGGGUUGACCCAAUUAUUGUUAUUGGACACCGUUUUAUGGUAAUUGGUUGUUAUGGUUUUUAAGUGUGUUUUGAUAUCUUGUGUUAAAAAGUAAUUGCAAAAAGUCAGAAAAGUUUGUUAAAGAUUAAGUGUUUUUAAGUUUGUCAUUCCACUUUAAUUCUCACCAGUACUUGCUGAAUGGAAGCCUCUUGUCUAAGACAAUUCGAGUGGAAAACUCUCGUGACUACCACAACAUUUGGGAAUCACCAAAUGUAAGACUAUUCCUUUAUCCUAGCAUUUGAUCUCUCUCUAUAAUUUGGUUUGCUAUCGUAAGUUUGAUUAAAAUAAAUGUUGAUAAUUCAACUCCAAUGUUCUUAUUUUCUUAACUCUCAUUCAGUCAGUUAGAAUCAGAACUCAUUUAUUUAUCUUGUCUCCAUAAUUUGGAUUCAAAGAUUCAUCACAAUAAUCUUCUCAACAACAUUCUUGAAAAGGUAUUGAAUUUUCAACUGUGUGACCUCUAUACACAAAUUUCUUCAAAGAAAUUUACAUUCUUUAGAGUUUAGAGCUUUGAAUUCUAGUACAACUUAUGAAGCUUUUGAUACUUGUUAUACUUUUUUGCUUGGUGCGGAUAAAACCUUAUUUACAUUCUUUCUUUCCUGCAUGUUCUCUUUUGAUAUUUGUUAGACUUUUUUGCUUGGUUGUCCUUAGUGUUUUCCUCUUUAGCUGAAAUUUCUCUAUCUUGAAAAAAAUAGAGCUUUAAAAUUCAACUUCAACUUUAUUUGAUACUAUAUUAGUCCAUACUUAUUUUGGUAUUUCUUUCCUUUCUCACAAACACAUCUAAGAGGUUGCCUUCACAAUAUGGCCAAAUUAACAAUAUGGCAACCUUUUUCAUUGCAAAACAUAUUAGAGGUUGGUUACUUAGUUAGCCUUAUUGGGUAAAUAAUUGACAUUUAGGUACUUUUUUAGUUUGUAUAUUUAUAGAUUCCAAAUCGAUAUGUGAAUUUUAAUUGUUGCUUAUUUGAAACAUUGCAACCAUUUGAUAAAAUGUUGCUAUGUGAAUCCAUCUUAACUUGAUAUAUUAUUUUAUUUUGGUUUAGGUUGUGGAAUCCAAGUUUGUAUUUGAAGUCAAAUUCAUCCAAGAUCAUUGAGUUUCAAAGCUUCUUUAAUUAAGAUUUUGUUUCUUGAACUAGAAUUGUAGUCUUGUGAUUUUUGGAAUAGCAUAGUUGGAUUGGUUUUGUAAUUUUGGGAUUAUCAUAUUAGGUUGGGUUGACUGAAGUAGUGUUUUGUAUAUGACAAUAUCGAACAAACAUGUAAAGUUUUCGAAAUGUUCAUACAUAUAUGAUUAAAUGUUAAUAUAUGUUAAAGUUUUGGAAUUGUAUUCGUGCAUAUUUAUGAGAUUGUUGGGCCACACUACAAGAAUUAUAGAGACAAUACAGGAACAAAAAUAUAAAUAAAUUAUAAUUUAGAAAAAAAAUGAAACAAGCUUCAUCUUUUUUAAAUGUCAUAAACAAAUACAUUCUUGAUGGUUUUUCAAUAUCAUUAACAAGUAAAUUCUUGACGUUUUUUAAACGUCAUAAACAAUUGUGUUCUGACCGUUUUAAAUGUAAAAUUACAUUCUUGAUAGUUUUUAAAUGUCAUGAAUACUCAUUCACUUGACGAUUUUUAACUGUCAUGAAUAUUUGUAUACUUGACGUUUAUAAACUGUUAAGAAUCGCUAUUCUUGACGUUUUAUUAACCGUCAAGAACUUUGACUUUCUUGACGCUGCUUCAACGACGGUUUUAAAACCGUCAAGAAAGUGAUUCUUGACAGUUUAAAAACGUCAAGAGAGUCUAUUUUUGUAGUAGUGAAUGAUAAGCUUAUUGAGUCGGCGAUCUAGCCACUCUCACUCGUACAAAUCAAAGGACAAUCUCUCGUGAACAAGUUCAUAAUACACCAAGAUUAAGACUAAGUUAUCUAGGUCAUCCUAGUGAAAUAGAACCUAACUAGUUAAUGUAGUAAACCAAGUGGUUACUAUUUCACGGUCUGGUCUAUUGCAAUCUCAUUGCAUAGGAUACCUUCACUCGCAUGUCAACUACAUGAACACAUUGGAUCAUUGUAUUUGUAUCAAAUACAAGGUGAGUCGUAUUCAUAAUGUUACCAGGAUAAAGGUACCCAGUCUUAUCCCUAUACUAUAGACCCUUUAAGCUGAUCUCGAACAUUGAUCCUUGUAUGUCUCUACAUAAUAUUCAAUACUUAUUAAACAGUUUAGAUGUUAGUUUAUUGGAUUUGAGUUAUUAAGACAAAACAAUAUAUAAUCAAUAACAAUUAUUACAAUAAUAACACUUUAUUAACAAUGGUCAAUGGAUUAUAUUUACAAUCUACGAGUUUAGGACAUAAAUUCCAAUAAACUCCCACUUGGACUAAAACUCUAGUCUCUUUGGGAUGUUCAUAAUAAAGUAAUCCUCUAACAUUGAAAAUGGUAAAAUGUACAAGUGUAUUACAUAGAAUGUGUAUAUACAAAUACAAUAAACUAGGGCAUCCUCAUACCCAUUACACAUCUGCCACUUUUCCUAGAUUACCUAAACAUAACUCGCAGAUCUAGACUUUCUAGAAGACCCUUGAACACUUUAGCCAUGAGAGUCUUUGUAAAUGGAUUAGUAAUAUGCCCCACUAUUAUCACAAUAUAGAGUGAUGGGGUAUGUUCAUGUUUGGAACAACUUCAAAAUUAUGCAAGAACUUUCCUCAGCAAAACUGCUUCUUUUGCUGCUUCACAAGUAUCAAUAUACUAAACUUUCAUAAUAGAGUGUGUAAUGACGCGUGCUCAGGCUGCUUGAUCAUGCUAGGACAUGCUUCCUGCAUGUCCGAAGCCUAAAUAACCUUUCGCUCAAAACACACGCUCAUCUCACCUUGUCAUCCUGGCAAUCAACCCACCCUUGGCCUUGCCUAGAAAUAUGAUUUUUCUACCAGAAACUUAACUCGACUUUGAAGCUUAAAUCAAUAAGAUUCCUUCUACAAACUUACUUAGAAUGUCUUCACUAGCUUACCACAAAGUGUCACUAACAAAUUCCAAGUAUUGAGUUAUGUAGUCCAAAACUCUAACAUUGUUAGGUUUUUUUUUUUUUUUUUUUUUUUUUUUCUGAAAAUGACCUUUGAGUCUUUCUUCACUUCAAUGCCUUUCUUCCUGGUAGCCUUUCUCCUGAUACUACACUCAAUUUAGGAGAUUUUCGAAGUAGAGUUACCCAAUUAACACAAGUUGAUUGUUAACAUAAUUCGUCCAAAGUUGUACAUAUAGUGAUCCUUGCAUGCUCUUUGGUUGACACUUUUAUUAUCACCUCUUACGCCUAUACUUGCCACUUUCCACCUCAUGCAAGACACUUAUUUGGCAAAACUUAGGUAUCUUGUAUGUUGUCCACUUGUACUCUACCGCACAUCUUACCUCAUAUUGCUUAAGUCAUCCUUGGACGCAUAUCCCUUUUUCUAUAAGGGUUCUUUAGUAAAUUCUUACUGCCAAGAAUGCCUAAGACUUUUUUUUCUCGCCUAAUCUCCCAAACAUCCCUCAAUGCCUUCAACAAACCAUGCCAUCUUGACUAGCAUUUGGUUGAAUUGCCCUAUUGGCCGCAUGGCCUAUGUCCACAUAGCCCACCUCUUUGUUGCAUGACAUUCCUUAUCCACGUUCUAACUUCUUUAGAGUUUCUUGACAUUUCCUAGAUGCUUAGCUUCCUUGCCUAGCGCAUACCCUUGGUCAUAUAGCCUUGUCUUAUAGAGGUUGUCUUGACACCUUUCGGCCAUACCACAUCUCAACCUUUGGCCACCCAACAUGUCUCUUUAGAGGUUCGCUUGACACUUUUGGCCGCCUAGAGUAUGCAACAUGCCCUAGCUAACACUUAGCCAAUUUUCGAACACCCUUUAGGCCUUUCUUUGUUACGAUGACACUUUUCUUUUGUCAUCUUAAAAAUAUUAACACAUCUUCCAUAACACUUCAACUAAACUAUCCAAUCUUAAACCAUCUUUCUCCUAACAUCAACCCCUAAUGUCCUAUUGAGUUAUUUAGAUGAAUUAAGGAUUAUUGGGUAUCGGGGUUUACACGCGAGAUGUAAGUCUUCCUCCUUGGAAUUACGUAUAGUAGUGUGCGGAGGGAGAGGAAUGUGAUGCAGUUCUUCCUCCUCAACCCUAAGGAAUUCGUCUUCGCUAACAAUGCCCUUUUUAUCGGGUAAGGGCUUGUUCGGUCAGGUCGUGAGGUGAAGGAUGUUGUUAUAAUGAUGAGGUAUUUGGUGGUGAGAGGAUAAUAUUAAAGGUUUUGAGGUGUCUUCUUCUUCUCUGCCAUUCCAUUCUUCUCCCUUAGCUUUAUUAAAGGUUUUGAGGUGUCUCUGUUCUUCUUUAUUUUGAUGGAGUGUUAUGAUUUGGUUGAGAUUCGCCUGAGAACAUGCAUAAGGGGUGAUUGGAGAAAAGCUAAAAGCUUAGGAACCGUCGGAGGAAGGGCAGAUCAUUAAUUGUAUGUUACGCCUUCCUCUGACGUGGUGGCAGCAACGUUGAGAAUAGAUUUAGGGAUUCCCGACGUAUCAUUAAUCGCGUGGGAAUAUGUUUAGGGAUUUCUGACGUUUAACAAAUCAGGUCAAGAAUAGGGUGCUAUUCCCGACGUUUUCGUUGUGCGUCAGGAGUUCUCUGUCUUUUUUAACUCCAUUCUUUACAUAAAAAAACAUAAAGAGAAAGAAAAUGAAGAGAGAGGGGAGACCGAGAGGAAGAUUGAGAAGAAGAGGGCAUUGUCAUCUCCAUUGCCGUCCCUGUUGUCGUCCUGUCGUCGUCGCCAUCGGUAAGUGGUUUAGUUUAGAUAUUGUUUUGUUUUAGUUAAUUAGUUUUAGUAUUUAGAUUUCAAAUUUGUUUUAGGUGUUAGAUUUUAGAUUUCAAAUUAGUUUUAGUAUUUAGAUUUUGAAUUAGUUGUAAGUUUUAGUAUUGAAAUUUAAUUUCAAGUGUUGUUAGAAUUUUAAAUUAGUUGUAGGUUUUAGAAAUUUGAAUUUGAAGUGUUGAAGUUGAGAUUGAAGUGUUAAAGUUGAGGUUGAAGUGUUGAAGUUGAGUUUGAAUUUAAAAUUUUCAAUUUGAAUUUAGGAAUUAAUUGAAGUUAUUUUUUUUAAAAAAAAUAGAGGAUCUCCCGACGCAUGGUUCCUACACAUCUCUCGAUGCUAUAUUGACAACAUCUUCGACGUUCAUACAACGUCGGAAGAUGUCUAGAAACUCUCGACGCACAACAUUGUGCAUCGGGAGAGGAACUCCCGAUACAUUUUUCCUGACUUGUGUUCCGACGUAUAUUAGUGUGUCAGAAAAGCCUUUUCUGACGCUUUUUAUAUAUCUCCCAAUGAUUUUAUGCAUCGAGAGAGCCCUCAUUUCUUGUAGUGUUAGACAAAGAGCUUCAAUGUGGUAGAGGGGAAAGGCAUGACACCUUUAGGUUUCAUCAAAGGGAGGAUUGAGGUUCUGAUUACGGCGCUAAGGUUAACUGCGCCAUCUUCUUCUUAAUGCAAUAAAUCAUCAUUGUGCACUCUAGUGGGAUGGUGUUGUUGUCAACCAGGCAGGCGGUUUCGUUUUCAAGUCUUAGUUCUUAAUUCUUAACAACCUUUGAGUAUUGAUGCUCUACCCCAACCCUCAUCCAAAACGAUAACUAACACAAUGGUUUGGAAGUUUUUGUGAAACAUCAUCUAUACUUUUUCUUUAAUGGUCGAUGAAAAAAAAGUCAGGAAAAUGGUAUUUCUGACCAUUUUAAGUGUUACCAAAAUAUCACAUUUGGUGUAGUAUGGUAUUGUUUUGAAUAUUUUUGUAAAAUAGUGGAUCAAGAAGUUUUACUAAGAUAAAGUUUCAUGUUGGACAAGAGGAUAGUGGAUGGGAAUUAAGUUGAAUGGUCCACUUUUUUUUUAAAUCCUUUAAGGUUUUAUGAAAACCUUUCACAAUACCUUUUCAUAAUCAUUUUGUAAAAAUAAUAUCAAAUCAUUUAAAUAUACCAAAAAAUUAUUUCAUUUCAAAUAAACCUUUCUAUGCUUAAAAAAUCAUUUCAUUUUGUCAAGGAUCCCGAAUCGUUCUCUACGCUUGGUCUCAUUACCUCGCGUUUAGACUACUGUAUCAACAGCAUCUGAGAACAUACAAAUUCGUCUUUGUUGCUCAUACCGCUAAGCUUUAUACGCUCAUUUCAAUGCAUAAGUCAGCUUCUUAUUACCAUGUAGUUCGUACACUCCAUAGUGGCCUUCACUCUUUAUGUGCACACAAAAGUUAGCAUCAUCUCAAAGAAACAUAAUAUUGAAAUCAUAGUCAUCAAAUCAAGCUUUAACAUUAUAAAUAAUGCUUGAAAACAUAACUUUUCAUAGAAAUCUUUCUGAAACAUUCUCAUCUGAAUUCUUCUUUCGAAUCAGUAAAGAGAAAUCGUAAUAAAGUUUCUUAACAUAAAUUCUUUUGACUGAAAAGCACUCACCAAACUUUACUAAAGAAGUCCUUCUCACAACCAUCUUUUCGUGUGGCUAAACCAACAACACUUUAGCAUUUCAACAAAACUCUCAUCAUCCCCUCCUUAGUUACCUAAAUUCUCCUAUUUUAUAGAUCCCUUAUACUAACUUAGUCAUGCAAAUCCUUAAUAUUUAACCUAGUCAUGCUCAAAUCCUUAAUCUUACAUGUUAACCCAUGUCAAAUCAGAUUUGACAUUUUCUUUACAAACCUUGCUCCCCACCUAACCCAAACCGUGAAUAAAUUCAACCACUUAACAUUUCUCGUGAAUAACCUUAUCGCUUGAUUAUAUUUUUAUUAUAAGAAACGUUCCACAUGAACUAACCAACUUUUACUCGCAUAAAACUCUUAUCACGAACUUAAACUCCAAGGCUUCCUCGUAGACUUCUUCUCCACGAAAUGCUUGAUUCUUCUCGCGAAGACCACCCAAAACUCCUAGUCUAAACUCAAAACUUUCAUUUCUUAACUUACGCAAAGACUUUUUCGCUUCUUAUCGCACAACUUCUUUCGCGAACUACACACUUAUCGCAAAAAAGUAUACUUAACCGUAAAAGAUCUUAUCACUUAAUCUUUCCAUGGAUUUAUUUGAACACCAACUUCUUAAUUCUUAGCCGAAUUUUACUUCCUUACUCGAAUUAGAAAUGGGUCGCACAACUUCCUUCGCAAACUACCCACUGAAUCGCAAUAACGUAUACUUAACCAUAAAUUUUUUUAUCGCUUAAUCCUUUUCGUGGAUUUAUUCAAACGCCAAAUUCUUAAUACCUAGCCAAAUUUACUUCAUUACUCAAAUUAGAAAUGGGUCUCACAUUUAGAGCCUAUCGCUUCUUUAAGAUACAUGAUCUUACUGAUUCAGAGAAAUUAACCACAGGCGUUAUUAGUUUUGAUGAUCUGGCAUUGGAUUGGUACCAAGCACAAGAAGAGUUGGAAGUUUUUAAGAAUUGGGCUGACCUGAAAGAACGAAUGCUUGUACAGUUUCGAUCAAUUCGAGAAGGAACUUUGGUUGGAAGAUUUUUCUCAAUCAAACAGAAAAUGAAUGUAGAAGACUACCGCAACCGAUUUGAUCGAUAUUUAGCUCUAGUAGCAUUUCUUCAAACGGUAGUGUUAGAGGAGACUUUGAUGAUUGGGCUUAGCCCAUGAAUAAAAAUGGAAGUGGAAAUGUGGAACCGAUUGGGUUGGCCCAGAUGAUGAAAUUUGCGUUGAAGAUUGAGAAUAAGGAACUAGUGAGAAAAGAGUGUGGGUUGAGCAGUGCAUUUCAUGUAAAACUGCAACUCACCCUAUCUAUUGUGGAAAACAACAAUACAAUGAUGACUAAGGAAGAAACCAGCAAUGGAAAGUCUACUGAUGAGAGCUAUCACCCUGAAGGGAGUUACUGAUAGAACUAAGACAUGCACAACAGAAAAAGAAUCGAAAUUCUACCCUAAUUGGGCUUAAUUAACGAGACUAAACCAAAAAAUAAGGUUUUUAGAAUACUUACAUUUGAAGCUGCGUUUUAUUCGAACAACCACUAAGUUUGACUUAGUAUCCUCUAGACUCAUAAUCGAGUUGUGGGACCCGUUGGAUGAAAGAACCGGACGAGAGAAAUAGAUGAAAAAAAUGGGCGUGGUAAAUUUUCUUUUUUUUUUUUAAGUAAAUAAGAAAAAGAAAUUCCAUUUGGUGUGAAAGCCCAAAUUUAAUAGGAAAAUGAAAGGGAAUUCCUUGGAAAGUUGGUUUGUGUGUCAUUAAAAGUCAAGGUGGAAAACAAAGUACAACAUAUGGCUAAAUGUGAGAGUAGGCGUGCAAGUAUAAUAAAUACCUACCAAGAUGUUUAUUAAUAACAUGUGUUUGAUACAUAAUUACAACACUUUGACCAAACAACCAAUGCUUAACUAUUUUCAAAACGUCUGGUCAUCUCGCUGCAAAUCCUUCAACCUUCUUCUCUACUUGGCCUAAACACCUCAUCUUGGAAGAUGAAUUUUUGAAAGAAUGUCUAAAAGACUAAGGUUUUAUGAAAUCCUUUUCGCAAUACCUUUUCAUAAACAUCAUUUCGCAUAAACAACAUCAAAUAAUUUUAUCUCGCAUAAACCUUUCUUUAUCCUUAACAUACUCAUAACAUAACAAUUUCACAUAAACACACAUUAGUUAACAUUCAUUCCUUUCACCAAGGAUUUUGAAUCGUUCUCUACACUUUGAUGUAGAACAUCUCCCUUCUUGAUGUUUCUUGAGUUUUAUCCUAGAGGAGUGGUUUGAAUUACCAUUUUUAUAGUUUAGGAUUAGUUAUUUGAAUUACCAAUUUUGUAUCUUGAGUUAGUUAUAACUAACUCAACUCCAAGUUAAACUAACUCAACCCCAAGUUAGUUUAACAACUCUCGUAAUCUCCAGCCUAUAAAAAAGCUUCUCAUUUUCAUUAAUAAGACAUAAAAAAAAAGAGGCAUUAUACAUAAAGAUUUCUAGCUUUGCAAUUACUGCAUCAAUUGGUAUCAGAGUGUGAUCCUAGCUCACUCUUCCCUAAAAAAACUUGGAUCCUACCACUCUUAUCCAUGGACGCAGAAGCCUCCUUCAACCAAGGCUUGCAGUUGGUAGAACAAGCUAUUGAAGAACUUCGAAAAGGGCAGUCGAUAUACAGCAAUCGUUAGUAGAAUUAACAAACCUUUUUACCCGAUUUCAUGUCCAACCUUUAGAAGAAGCAAUUCAUCCCCCAAGAAACCCAAUUGCAGCAAACCAAGAAAGACAAGAAAGACCAAUAAACCCUGUUGUAAACCAAGAACUACUAAGAAAUCAACCUAUUCACAUCCACAAUAAUCGAUUGUAUGGAAACAACGUACUUGGAAAUUUCUUAAACGAUUCUGACUCUUUCGAUGAAGACAACUUGCUGAACAUUCAUCAAGAACCUCAACAAAGGUUUGGACUUCGACCAUACUUUCAAGAAGAUCAAGAAAUACGUAUGAAAGUGGAUCUCCCUACCUUCAAUGGUCGAAUGGACGUGGAGAAGUUUCUUGAUUGGAUCAAGAACGUAGAAAUUUUUUUCGACUAUGCCAAUACACCCGAACACAAGAAGGUUCGAUUAGUUGCUCUCAAACUUCAAGGUGGCGCAAGCACUUGGUGGGAUCAAUUACAAAACAAUAGACGAUUAUUCGGUAAACAAUCUAAAGAUUAGCUGAAUAUCUUAUAAAAAGAUGUUGCCGUAGGCUUAGUGGUGACAGGUGAGAAAGUAAGCUGUAUCUUUUAUGACUCUUAAACGUUGAAGUCAAUCAAUGAGUUCCAAAUGCAAUAUUGGAAGUUUUCUUAAAUAUUUUGAUGCUUUUGCAUGUUGUGAAAGAACUUGGUUAGAUGUGAGAAAGGGGUUUAUGAGAUUAGUUACUUACUAUUCCCUUUUUCACUGUCAUUGCUACUCCGUAGACAUGCUAUGGGCUCGUGUUUCUGUAGAAUAUAAUUCAGAUGCUCUUUCUCUAGAAUAUAAUUUAUGUGCUUUCUCUACAAAUUUGAAGUAAUUUCUACUGCUUUUGCUAAUAUUCUCUAAAGCUUAUUCAAAAUGUAGUUGUUUAAUGAUUGUUCAGAUUUAAAAUAUAUUAUAGAGUUAAAUUUAACACAGUUAAUCAGCUUAAGCAUUUGACUCUGGUGUUCUUAAGAUAUAAAUUCAAAUCCCUAUAAUUUUAUCAUGUUGAUCUUUUCAAUCUUCUCACAUACCGUCUUCAUUUCAUAAUCUUGCCUACUAGCUGUGUAUCAUCAAUGAAAUUACCAUAGGAGUCCACAUGUGGUAAUUAUGGAUCUAGCACGAUAUACUGCGUAUCAUGUUGUUGGAGAUCAGUUUAAAUGAUUAACCAGUCUAUUGGUGGUUUGAGUCUUUUCUUUUGAAUCUAUAGGUUGUUCAAUGGUCUAAUAUUAACUGUGUUUAGAUUUAUGGUAAUUUUCAUAAGCCUUAAGAAAAGGUGUGCUUUGAUAAUCUUUUCUUUCUCUUCAGCAUGUUGGUAAUGUAGAAAGAUUACAUGUAUACUAUGCCCAUGGACUAGAUAGCCCAACCUUUGUUCGCGGUGUUAUUGGCUCCUAGAUAAGUAUGUUAUGGUUGAAAGAAAAUUGUUAAAUUGCUUGCUACCAGUUGUUUCAGUGGGGUAUAUCCCCAUCAUGCUACAAGCAAAGAAAAAUGAAAUUAGACAGUGGCAGUAUAUCGUGUUCUACUUAUAUAAUUUAUGACUUUCUUCUGCUUUUUGUUCAGGACCUUUGAACACAUUGUCCUUGUUCAUUACCGUGAAACACAAGAGGUUAGGUUCAACACAAUGCAUCUGCAGUUACUAAAAUAUUAUCUUGAGACAAACUUUUAUCAUUUGGACUACUACAUCUAUUUAAGAUUUGCUGAUUUUUCCUCCAUGGUUGCAAUAUUAGAACUUCAUCCAAAAUAAUGUUGUCAUGUGUGUCUUUAAAUUUUUACUGGCAGUCUGGCACCAUAUAGAUCUAGUAGUUGUGCAUGCAUGUCUUCCUCUCUAUCCUCCAUUGAAAAACUCGAUAAUUAUCUAUUUGUGUUUUAUUUUGAUGAUUUAAUCCAACAUUUAUUAUGGAUAAAGUCAGCCAUAAAAUACAUAUGUUUACUACUGCUCUUUGUACAUUUUAAAUACUAGAUUUCUUGAUGAUUGUUGUCUUUAAGUUGCUCUUAAUGUUGUUGCAUAUCGAGAAAUGCACUGUAAUUUCUGUACCAAUUUUAUCACUGCUUUUAACUAAAUCUUCAAAAAUCAAGGCACCACCUGGAUGUAGAGUGCUAUAUGGUGAUUCAAGUGUUGAGAGUUCUCUUUCUUCUGCUAUCCAUAAAUUUAUGGAAUGGAAAGGCAAUGAUCAUGACACUAUUUUUUGUCAGAUAAACACAGGUUUCAUAUGCUUCAACUCUGUGGUGCUUCACAGCACACGGAUAAAACUUCCAAACAUUCUGCACCCAAUAUUACCAUAAUGCAUUUGGACACUUCAUUAACAACUUCUUACAAUUAGCCUUUCUAUAUUGAAAAUAAUUCGUUGUCUUAACUUCAUGUUGCUGCUAGUUUCAAAAUUUUGCAUCCACAUCGUUGAACUCAAAUUCUGGUUCUGUCUCUAACCCAUCAACUCCGUGGCUUUUAUCGAGGAACUUGAUUCCAAGGCUACUCAUGUUUAUUCUCUUGGUGAAAAUGAAUUGUUAGGUGAUACUGGCCGAACCUGUCAAAAAUAAAUGAGUCAUAGUUUGUUUGAUCAUUCAUUUUCUAAUCUUUCUUCUUUAUAUUUAAUUAGUUGUUUAAUUUCUUAAAAAAGAAUUCUGGUUUAUUUAUAGUAUAUUUGGUAGUAUGCAUGCCUCAGCUCCUUUAAUGCAUGUCUCUUACAGUAUAUUUGGUAGUCUUUUAUAAUGUUACACCCUUUUUUUUAAUUCCUAAAACCUUUUAACUUUCCAAAUUUUCAUUCAUUCUUUUAGAAAAUUAUUUUCAUUAUUUUUUUUGGUUACAAAACCAUCCAUUAACUACAUUAAUUAGACAAUUCACUCCAAUAAUAAAUAAAUAACUUUUUUGGAUCUAAGGUCUUUUCUCAUUCUACAAAUUUAAUUUACUAUAUAAAGGUUAUUAUGCUAAUUGAAAAAUAUAUUUCUCUCAAGUAUGCAAUGACAGAAAAUUAGGUUAUAAAUAUAAAAAAAUAUAUAUUUUUAGGUAUUAUAAUUUUUUUAAAAAAAUUAUAUUUUAAAUUUUUAAUAAAACCUUGCAUUUGGGGAUUCACAUGUUGUUACUUGUCGAACCAAAAAAGAUAAAUUCGUGGUGAAAACUCUUUAAAAGCCCAAUUCGUGGAAGGAAAAAUUGAAGUGUGGCGUUGAGUUAUUUUGUUGUUGAAGAAGAUCAGUAAAAAACCCACAGCAUUAAAACUUCUUUUUGUUUCUUUAAGUAUAUUUUAGAUUGCAACGUAUUUUCUAUUUGGGUUUAGUUAGGGUUUCUCUUGUUUAUUCCAAGAUAUGCAUGGAUAGUUCAUGUUCGACUAUUUGGAAAGAGGGAUUUAUGUAGCACGGGUAUUAUAUUCUGGUUUUGGAAGUGUCGAGAUAAAUUAAGGACUUUUUUAAUCUUCUUCAAACAAACCUAUACGAAGGCGAAGAAUAAUUUGUGCUUGUAUUUUAGUCGGAAUAAGAAGAAACAUGAAGAGAAUGCCCACGAGGAAAAUGACCAUGAGAAAAAGUUGUGUAUUCCUCCAUCCAUAACUGAGCUCUCUAAUGUGUAUUCCUCCCUCCAUAACUGGCUUACUUUGGACUGUUUGGAUAGAAAGAAGAAUCCUUCGAAGCCCUAGACUUGUCUCUACCGCAUUCGAAAAUGCCAAGUUCUCUCUGAGGAUCUCUAACUUCUGCCGUGUUCACCGUCCGUCCGUCCGCGUUCACCACGUCCGAGUUUAUCUAAUAUAUUUUUCCAAAUCUUAAAGAAGAACUUUUGAUUUCAUUGGAGUUUAUCAUUAGAGGCAUUACUAUAUUGGCUGCCUCUCAGUGGGCGAUAGGUUUUCCAAUGGUCAUUUGAGACUGGUUGAUAAUAGCAAAAGUUAGAGCUUGAGAAGAAGGAGCGAAGAAAGUAGUGAAGACAAAAAAGAAAGAAAGCUGAGUGAAAAACGAAAAUUGACAAGGUAGAGAUGUGACAUGAAAAUGAUGAUGAGAAGUGAAGGAGGCACGACACAAUACUGGUACACAAUAACAAAGCCUUGAUAAUUAAAAAAAGGAUGGUGCCAAGAAAAUUUAAAUACAAAAAAAAUGAAGGUUCUUGCAAGUGUAUUGAGUGAAUGGGAGAAAGAAAGGAUAAAAAAGGUAGAAAGAGAGAAAGAGAAGUCAAGGGUAGAGAUACAUAGCUUUGUAUAUAGAAACUUUAUGUUUAUACUCCAUUAUACGUUGUGGAGAAUAUAACAUCCUGAUAUGUUUGAUUCAAUUUGAAUGAUGCAAUUAUUUAUUUUUCUGCAAUAAUUUCUACUACUUAAGAACCUAAAUUUUGAAAGCCUACUAAUUUUUCAGAAUUAAUUCGAGACCCCACUUUUGCUCCCCUUCCUACCUACGGUUACUUUUUGCUUAAACUUUAAAAGUUGUUUGAAAAUUUUUGCUGAAACUUGUAAAAUUUGUUUGAAGUUCGUAUAUCUCUCACAUAUUGCAAGGUUUCUUAAUUAUUUUAUUGAAUUUCCUACAUAAAUGCAUUCAAACAUGAGUUGACAUAAAUGCAUUUUGCUAUCAAGAGAGUAUACCAUACAUGCAUGUGUAGGACUUUUAUCCCUUAUAUUUUAUAAUUUGUCUUACUACUGUUAUUGACUGAUAUACCAAUAUACAUGUGUAAAGUAUUGAUCAUAUAAUUAAUAUUAAAUUUAUUACAUUCACUCAUCAAUUUAAGUUUUUUAGUCAAUGUAUGUUCAUGAUGUACCAUGGUCAUAUCAUAAUAGAAUAGAUCCAAGAUUAUAUAUGUUCAAACCAACUGGUGAUUUAAUUAUCAAAGAUAUUAUGAUUUUGUCCAGUUUUUUUUCAGUCACUACUAGAAAAAUGGAUUUUAAUCAAGACAUUGUGUCGUUGAAAAUAAAAGAAAAAAGAGGUGGGAUGAGGUACAUUGUGUUGUUGAAAAUAAAAAUAUGGAUUAUUUCUUAAAACAAUCAUAUUGACACAAUUUAAUUUAUUUCAAAACAAUUUUUGCGUCAUUAAUUAACAAUUUUUUUGUCAUUAAAAAAUUUUCAAAUGAAAAAACCUCAAAUUUCAAAAAAGUUCGAAGUGGGCUACCGAGUCGUUAUGAAGAACCCUUGCCCUCCAAUUUUUUGCCACUUGCCGUCGUCGAUUCCACACUCCAACCACUGUUGUCGUUGCUCCCACAACAAGCCUUCGCCGUCAAACCCACCAAUCUAGCCACUUUCGUCGAAUAAAUUUAUUUAGAAAUAUAAGUUUUAAUGACACUUGAAAUCAAGAAAAAGGGAUAUGAGGGAAUAAAAUGUGUCGUUAAAAAUAAAAAUACAAAAUUUUUUGUGACACAAAUUGGUUUUCUUGACAAAAUUUUCGCAUUGUAAAUAAUGGCAUAAAUUAUGUGUCAUUAAAAAUUACCCUAAUAAAAAAUCAAUGUUUUCCUUCAAUCAUAUGCUUUUUGAUUUAAAACAAAUAAUUCGAAGCUUUCAUCCCACUUGUGAACAAUGACCGAAAAAAACCUUACUUCAUCCCACAUCGUCACUGUCUUUAGCUCUCUCGCAAAUGCUCUCUGGCGACGUUCCCCCUCUCUCGCAAAUACUCUUCACGACUUUUUCUCUCUCUCAAAAUUAAGCUCUUCGCCCACCGUUUGAAGGAACUCACCAAAUUUGCAAGUAAUUGAAGAAUUUGUGGUCCAUGAGAUCGAUUAAGUCCAUUUAUGAGUUAGUUUGAUUAGAUUAUGUCACAUAUACAUGUAUUACAAUUAAGGGACACUUGCGAAAAUGGCAAAAUAAGUUAUAAUAAUUAAGUCCAUAGAACACAUACUUUAUUAUUUGAGAAAGUGACAAAAACAAAGACCAACUGUAACGACCCAACUUUUCUAGGUAAGUCGAGGUCGUUAAUUUUUGACAAAAGACUUUGGUUGAUACAAAAUGAAAUGUAAGCCAAUUGAAAAACAACUUUAAGUCAGGCCUGAUUUUCAAAUAUUCCAAAAACUUAAAAAAAGUACUAUUUACAAAUAAAAGUUUGUAAGCUAAGUUUCAAUACAACGUCUUAAACCUAAAACAAACAAUAAGCGGAAGCAAAAUAACACAUUUCCUAUGGCAAUCACACUUCCUUCCUGCCCCUCGCCGGUUUGCCGCCUUUAUUACCUUUGCCUGAAAAUUAAACAUAAGAAGGGUGAGUAUAAAAAUACCCAGUAAGAGACCCUCUACUGGUCCCGUCAGGGGAAAAAUAAAUUGUUAACAUUCUAUUGGGACACCCUGUACAGUCGCAGUCUUGUGAUCCCGUAGGAUGCACAUUUCAGUCUAACGCCCGAGGACGUACAUUUCAGUGUAGUGUUCUGCAGAAACACAUAUCAGUCUAAUGCUCCCGAAGGUGCAGAAUAAUUGGUGAUCCCGUGGGACACCUACAAGGCACACAUCCCAAUAAAAGCUAACAAUUUUUCCCCUCAAUCCAUUCGUACCAUCUUUCAGUUACUUCAAAAUAUAAAGUUCUUUCACUCAACGUUCUAACAGUCAACUUAUCUCACUUUAGCCCAAUGUCUGUCAGUAACAUACUAAUACGUCAGUCAAUCAAACUAUAUAGUCAUAACGCCUCUCAGUUCACCAGCACACAGUCAUACUUUAGUAUAACGUACACCCAGUCUAAACGACAAUCACAAGUUCACAUCCGCAUCUCAUACAAACACAAUCUACAAUUGUCGUCCUGUCUACAUCCACACACAUAUAUAUAUAUUCCAAGACAAUCACAAUAUGCAUUCAACAUCAAGUCUACUUCAAUCCAUGUGUAUAUAUAUAUUUUCAGUCAUCCACAGUAUACAUUCAACACCGAACCUACAUCCAUACGUAUAUAUAUAUUGUCUCAACACAUUUACUCAAUCAGAGGUGACUAACAUUACAAUUCAAAAGCAUAGGUGAGUCCAGUAGAAAAUAAAAUCCCUUACCUCACUUUUAUGCAAGUUCUUCAAUCUACUAAAUCCAAUGAAUCAAAUCCUAAACAUAAUCAAUCAUAAAAUCAACAUCUUUCUAAAUAGUUUCAACCAUUCAAAUUACCCCAUAUGUAAAUUCCACAACUUACCCAAGAAGUGGAAAAUCAAGUCCACUUCAACCUUUUGGAAAAUCAAGGAUUCGCUCACUGAAUCAAGAUGUACCUUCAAGAAUUAAGCAUUUCGCCAACAAUUAAAUCCAAUGGCAGCAUUCAACAAAAACCAAGAAACCAACAAAAACCAUAACUUGUUCUUACCCAAAUAUGAGCCCAAUGGUUCACGGCGAGGCAAAAAUGACAAUCAAGAACGAAUCAAGCGGCUGUAAAUAGAGCAACACUGAAUGCGACUCAACUGGAAAAGAAAAUCGGCUUCAAAUCGUAACUCCGUCUUACAACGAGCAGAAGAACGUCGACUUGAUAGGGGACACGUAAUUUAGGAAGAGAUCGACUUGGAUCCGUGUAUGACUUCACGAGAUGUAUGCGUCGACGGCUUCACGGAGGUGAAGACAGACGCGGUCGGAGAGUCACGCGGCAGUGCAGAAAACGGAGGAGAAAGGAACGGGCGGCGGCUGGCUUGGCUUCGACGGAGACAGAGAUUGCGCAGCAGGGCUUCACGAACGGAGAGGAAAGGAAUGGGCACGGCGAUGCAGAUCUGGACGACUGCUGCAAGGUGACGCGUACGGCACUUCACGAACCGGCCGACGGUUGCAGCGACGGAUCUGGGUUAUGGCGAACUGCAAGGGUGAAGCACAAGCGACGGCGAGGACCUGGACGGCUCGGCGAUGCAGAUCUGGAUGACGAUUUGCUUUCCGAGGGAGGCACGACGGUUGUGAGCGGAGAGGCACGGUGGUUGUGAGCGGAUGGGCGCGGCGGUUUCGAUCCGAAGGAGAAAAGGAAGACGACCGGAAAGAAGAAGAAGAAACGACCGGCAGCUUGUGUGGCCGACUGGGUGAACGGAGAAGAGAGGGAUGUGCGGCUGCUAGGGUACGGGAAGGAGAAAGGGAUGGAGGACGCACGGGAGGAAGAAGGAAGGAAAAAUUUCUUUUUUCUUUUCUUUUAUUUAAAUAAUAAAAAUAAAACUAAAAUAUAAAUAAAUAUAUAUAUAAUAAAUUUCUUUUUCUUUUCUUUUAUUUAAACUAAAUAAUAAAACUAAAAUAUAAAUAUAUAUAUAUAAUUAUAUUAUCACAUUUUCAAAUCUUCUUUCCCCCUUCAACAUAUUUUCUUCAAAACAAUAAAUCUUGUACAAAUCGAAAAAAUCUCUUAAAAUAAAAUACCUUCGAGUUUGGGGCGUUACAUUCUUCCUCCUUAAGGCGAAAGUUCUAAUCCUAAAUAACUCUUGAUAACGAGUCCUCAUCUCUUCUUCUCGCUCCCAUGUCGCCUCUUCAAUUCGAUGAUUCCGCCACAAAACCUUUACUAAUGGAAUGCUUCUAUUACGAAGCAUCUUUACCUCUCUAGCGAAUCUCCACAGGUUGUUCUACAUAGCUCAAAUGCUCAUCAAUCUCCAAGGUUCAUAGUCCACGACAUGAGAUGUAUCGGCCACAUACUUCCUCAACAUCGAAACAUGGAAAACAUUAUGGACUGCAGAGAGUGAUGGUGGUAAUGCCAAGCGAUACGCCACAACACCAACCCUCUCUAAGAUCUCAAAUGGUCCAACAAAACGAGGACUUAACUUCCCUUUCUUCUCAAAACGCAUAACACCCUUCAUAGGUGCUACCUUCAAGAAUACCUUUUCUCCCACAUCAAACUUAAGGUCUUUUCGCCGUACAUCUGCAUAACUCUUUUGUCUACUCUGCGCUGUUUGCAUACGUGCUCUAAUCUUUUGAAUAGCCUCAUUAGUAGACCGAACUAAUUUAGGUCCCAUCAACCUCUGUUCACCAACCUCACUCCAACAAAUAGGGGUUCUACAACAUUUACCAUACAAAGCCUCAAAUGGUGCCAUACCGAUGGUAGCCUGGAAACUGUUGUUAUAAGCAAACUCCAUCAAAUGUAGAUGAGAGUCCCAACUACCUGGAAACUCUAGAACACAAGCUCGUAGCAUAUCCUCUAAAACUUGGUUCAAACGUUCAGUUUGACCAUCAGUUUGUGGAUGAAAGGCUGUACUGAAAUCUAAUCUCGUACCCAUAGCAGUCUGAAGUCCCUUCCAAAACUUGGAAGUAAACCGUGCAUCCCUGUCAGAAACAAUCGAUACAGGCACUCCAUGCAGUCUCACAACCUCAGUUAAAUACAACUGUGCCCACUUACUAGCAGUAUAAGUGGAUUUCCCUGGUACAAAAUGUGCGAUUUCGUAAGCCUGUCUACAACAACCAAAAUCACUGUGAAACCCUUCAGGGUCUUAGGCAGCCCUGAAAUAAAAUCCAUCGACACAUUCUCCCACUUCCACUCUGGCACACUUAAAGGUUGUAACAAACCUGCUGGUUUCUGUCUAGGUGCCUUAACCUGCUGACAUACUAGACACUUACUAACGAAUUCCGCCACUUCCCUUUUCAUAUUCCGCCACCAAUAAAAUCGUUUUAGAUCCUGAUACAUUUUCGUACUACCAGGAUGCAUGGAAAAUGAAGAAUUAUGGGCUUCAUCUAGUAAGUCAAUCUUAGCUGCACUGUUCGCUGGCACACACAAACGUCUCUCAAACAUCAAUCCACCAUCAGAGGAUAUGGAGAACUCAUCAGUCUGCUCUGUUCCAACAAGGCGACGUCUCUCCAUCAAAUAAGGAUCAUUACUCUGAGCAUCAACAAUCUUCUGCCUCAGAGUCAGUUGCACCGUUAAUUGAGCUAACUGUGAGGUGACUCUCCCCACAGAUACUACAAUCUCAGCUCUCUCCAAGUCUCGAUGUAAUGGUACCUGUCUAGUAAUGAGUGCUGCCGAAUGUGAUACUUUUCUACUAAGAGCAUCAGCCACCACAUUCGCCUUACCAGGAUGGUACAAUAUCUCACAGUCAUAAUCCUUUACCAACUCGAGCCACCUUCGCUGUCUCAUAUUCAACUCCUUCUGAGUGAAGAAGUACUUCAGGCUCUUAUGGUCAGUAAAGAUUUGUAUCUUUUCACCGUACAAAUAAUGUCUCCAUAUCUUCAAUGCAAAAACCACUGCUGCCAACUCCAAAUCAUGUGUGGGGUAGUUCUGCUCGUGACUCUUCAACUGACGAGAGGCAUAAGCAACCACCUUACCUUUCUGCAUCAAAACACAACCCAGUCCUUUCUUGGAAGCAUCACUGUAAAUCACAAAACUUCCGGAUCCAUCUGGUACUGUAAGGACCGGUGCAGUAACUAACCUUUGCUUAAGGUUCUGAAAACUAUCCUCGCAAGCUGGACUCCAAACAAACGGAGUUCCCUUCCUUGUCAACUGAGUCAAGGGAGUAGCCAAACGUGAAAAAUCCUCCACAAACCUCCGGUAGUACCCUGCUAAACCCAGAAAACUACGAACCUCACUAACUGUAGAGGGUCGAGACCAACUGGUAACCGCUUCUAUCUUUGCAGGGUCUACAGAAACUCCCUCACUGGAAACCACAUGACCAAGAAAAGCCACCUGCUUCAACCAAAAUUCGCACUUAGAGAAUUUAGCAUAAAGUUUAUUGACUCGAAGAGUCUCUAACACUUUAUGUAAGUGUUCCUCAUGUUCGGCCUCAGUCUUGGAAUAAACCAAAAUAUCAUCAAUGAAGACUAUCACAAAAGUGUCUAAGAAAUCCUUAAACACCCUGUUCAUCAAAUCCAUAAAUACUGCAGGUGCAUUAGUCAAACCAAAAGACAUUACCAUGAAUUCAUAAUGUCCGUACCUCGAACGAAAAGCAGUCUUAGGAAUAUCACGGUCUCUAAUCCUCAACUGGUGAUAACCUGACCGUAAGUCAAUCUUAGAGAACACCGUGGCUCCCUGUAACUGAUCGAACAAAUCAUCGAUUCUAGGUAAAGGAUAUCUGUUCUUGAUUGUUACUUUAUUCAACUCUCUAUAGUCAAUGCAAAGACGCAUCGACCCAUCCUUCUUCUUCACAAACAAUACUGGUGCACCCCAAGGCGACACACUAGGUCGAAUAAAGCCUUUGUCAAGCAACUCCUGUAACUGUACCUUCAGUUAUUUCAACUCGACAGGAGCCAUCCUAUAAGGGGCUCUAGAAAUGGGAGUAGUGUCUGGCUCCAACUCAAUGGCAAAAUCAAUCUCUCUAUGUGGCGGUAGUCCUGGAAGAUCUUCUGGAAACACAUUGGGUAUUCUCUUACCACAGGUUCUGAAGUUAAGGAAGUCUCAUCUUCCCUAGUAUCCACCACACUUGCCAAAAUACUCCAGGUACCCUGGUUGAGCAGUUUACUAGCUUUCAUAGCUGAGAUUACUUUAGGCAGUACUACUGUUCCUACCCCUUGAAUUUAAAGCUAGAUUCGGUAGGGGGACUGAACACAACCUCUUUACGAGAGCAAUCAAUACUAGCAUGAUUAGUAGCUAGCCAAUCCAUACCUAAAAUUACAUCAAAGUCACGCAUAUCUAAUACCAACAAGGUUACGUCCAGCACACGACCAGCUAUCUCAAUUUCACAUGCUUUAAUCUUUUCCUUAGACAACAUAAUUUCUCCAGACGGUGUAGACACUGACAAAACAUAAUCUAAGGGUUCCACCUCUAAGCAUGCAUGCGUCACAAAAAGCGAUGAAAUAAAUGAAUGAGAAGACCCCGAGUCAAACAAGGUCAAGGCAAAAUGCCCUAACACUGGUAAUGUACCUGUCACCACUGUGCAGGCCUUCUCUGCUUAUGAUCUAUUAGUGGCAAAGAUUGUACCCCGCUGUGGAGGUUUCGCUCCCUGACUGCUCUGUCCAGCCCCAGUAGAUCUCAAGGGACAUCGAUCAGCCAUGUGUCCCUCUUGCUUGCACUUAUAACAGACUCUCGUUCCCAUCAAACAACGACCCAGGUGGUGUUUCCCACACGUAUUGCAUAGUGGCUUCUCUCGAGUAGUGUCUCCUGCCCCGCCAGAACUCUGCUGGAAACUGCAAAAAGGAUCGCCUAAUCUCAAGUUCCUCUGAGGAAUUCCCACAGUUCUCUGCUCUGCUUUCCUCUUUUGACCAGACGACGAUCCCUUAUCAAAACUCCUUGCCCGAAUUUCAUCCUUCCCAAUGCUCAUAUCCACUGCCAGGCGCAGCGCUUCAGCCUGGGUAGUGGGCUUUAGUGCUCGCACAAAGCCUCUAAUCUCAUCUCUCAAUCCUUUGACGAACCUAUCAGCUCUAGCCUGCUCAUUACCAACAAGUUCAGGGGCAAAACGCGACAGCAUAUCAAACUCCUGGUCGUACUCCUCGACUGUCAUAUGUCCUUGCUUCAAUUCCAAGAAUUCCUGGCUUUUGGCGUCUCUAAGGUUAGCCGAGAAAAACUUGGUAUAGAAGCAGUCUUUAAACUGAUCCCAGGUAAUCUGUCUCACAUCUCCACCUAGCAUACGCAUCGUAGUUCUCCACCAGAUAAUACCUCUGUCCCUCAGAAGAAAAGCAGCACACUGAACUCUAUGCUCCUCUGGACAUCUCAUGUAAUUAAAUAUGGUUUCCACAGAGGACAACCACAACUCAGCUUUAGUAGGAUCCUCCAGUGACCCAUCAAACGUCUGAGGGUCAUAUUUCCUAAAGUCCCUCAAAUGUUUCGCCUCAGCAGAAAGUUGGUUCGGUAAUGUCUGCGGCUGUUGUGCAGCCAAUCCUUGCGCAGGAGGGGCUGCUGGUGCAGGUGGAGCUGCUGGUACAGGGGGAACCACAGGUGCAGGUGGAACUGCAGGUGCCUGCUGGUUCUGAGCUAUAGCCGUCAUAAGCUCCGUGAACCUCUGCUCCAUGUGAGCAGACAGUGCAGCAAACUCAACAUGAGUCACGGGUGCAGUAGGAAUUCGCUAUUCAGCUUGACCCUCAGUAGGUUGAUUACGACCUGCUCCUCUACCCCAGCCUCUACGACCUCUCUACGUACACCUCUCUUUGGCGGCAUAAUUCCUAUUAUCCACCAACAACACUCUUUAAAAAGUCUUAAUCAUAAGCAUAAGAGUCUUUAUCGUCAUGCAAUCUAGUUUAAUUUAGGCAAACUCAUGCAAAUAAACCAUACAUAUAAGCAUAAAGAUACCUGACGAGAGACGAAGGGUCGCGUUAGCCAUAGGGACAUAAAACAUAGACUUACAUCGUAAGUCAGUCUACAGAACCUAAAACUUAGGCUCUGAUACCAACUGUAACGACCCAACUUUUCUAGGUAAGUCGAGGUCGUUAAUUUUUGACAAAAGACUUUGGUUGAUACAAAAUGAAAUGUAAGCCAAUUGAAAAACAACUUUAAGUCAGGCCUGAUUUUCAAAUAUUCCAAAAACUUAAAAAAAGUAUUUUACAAAUAAAAGUUUGUAAGCUAAGUUUCAAUACAACGUCUUAAACCUAAAAAAAAACAAUAAGCGGAAGCAAAAUAACACAUUUCCUAUGGCAAUCACGCUUCCUUCCUGCCCCUCGCCGGUUUGCCGCCUUUAUUACCUUUGCUGAAAAUUAAACAUAAGAAGGGUGAGUAUAAAAAUACCCAGUAAGAGACCCUCUACUGGUCCCGUCAGGGAAAAAUAAAUUGUUAACAUUCUAUUGGGACACCCUGUACAGUCGCAGUCUUGUGAUCCCGUAGGAUGCACAUUUCAGUCUAACGCCUCGAGGGACGUACAUUUCAGUGUAGUGUUCUGCAGAAACACAUAUCAGUCUAAUGCUCCCGAAGGUGCAGAAUAAUUGGUGAUCCCGUGGGACACCUACAAAGCACACAUCCCAAUAAAAGCUAACAAUUUUUCCCCUCAAUCCAUUCGUACCAUCUUUCAGUUACUUCAAAAUAUAAAGUUCUUUCACUCAACGUUCUAACAGUCAACUUAUCUCACUUUAGCCCAAUGUCUGUCAGUAACAUACUAAUACGUCAGUCAAUCAAACUAUAUAGUCAUAACGCCUCUCAGUUCACCAGCACACAGUCAUACUUUAGUAUAACGUACACCCAGUCUAAACGACAAUCACAAGUUCACAUCCGCAUCUCAUACAAACACAAUCUACAAUUGUCGUCCUGUCUACAUCCACACACAUAUAUAUAUAUUCCAAGACAAUCACAAUAUGCAUUCAACAUCAAGUCUACUUCAAUCCAUGUGUAUAUAUAUAUUUUCAGUCAUCCACAGUAUACAUUCAACACCGAACCUACAUCCAUACGUAUAUAUAUAUUGUCUCAACACAUUUACUCAAUCAGAGGUGACUAACAUUACAAUUCAAAAGCAUAGGUGAGUCCAGUAGAAAAUAAAAUCCCUUACCUCACUUUUAUGCAAGUUCUUCAAUCUACUAAAUCCAAUGAAUCAAAUCCUAAACAUAAUCAAUCAUAAAAUCAACAUCUUUCUAAAUAGUUUCAACCAUUCAAAUUACCCCAUAU